rnacentral:rRNA from 1 species
AGAAAAUUUGGACUUUGAGCUAAAGAAAUAGUUUCGUCAAAACGACCCGGUCUUCUUAAAGCAGGAUCUAAUAAUGAAGGAAGAUGAGUUGUAGCAAAAACAACAAAACCGCGAUUAGAACGAACACUAUCAAUAAUCACUAGUAAAUCAGUAAUCAUGUCUAAUUUACCUCGUGACAAAUUCAUAGUUAUAUCAGCUAAAAGAGCGACUUUUGAACGUACUGAAGAACUUUCUUUUUGAUAUGAAAUCAAUUGAUCUGUAGAAAGCCCGCCCCAUGAAUUUUCGUGAAUGAUUUUUUUUGGUUUGAGUUUUUUUUGUUCUUUCAUCAUUAAAAUUGUAAAAGGUGAAGUUGCUGGUGGAGCAAAAACUUGUUCUUGUGAUACUUGUAAACGGCUUUUGAAAAAAGAAUUUGUUCUUUUUAUACUUUCUCCACCUUCUAGCCUUCGGGAAGGGAGAAAAGCAUUAUCAAUUUUUUCUUUCUCACCAAAGCCUUGUUUUAUUAAUACCUGCAGCUUCAGGAAAAGGUGCAUCUAGAUGACUUAAAUUUUUACUAAUUUUUGGAAGACCAGAAGACAAGAAAAUCGAAUUUGAAUGAUUUUCAGAAUUUGAAUAAAAAUUUUGAACAAAAAAAUUUGUAGGAAUUCCCAUUGAAAAAUCACCUUUAUAAGGACGUUUAUAAUCAACUAAAGAAUGUCGAUUUAAUUGAUAAAUCAUUUGAUUUGUUUCAUGAACUUCUUGUUGUUCUAAUCCAAGAUUAGAAAACAUUCCUUUUAUAUUUUCAUCAUCUGAAAUUAAAAAAGGUCUUUUAGAACCAAGAACAUGAAUAUGUUCCAUUAAAAAGAAACAAGGAGUUUGUAAAGCAAGAGCAUCAAAAACAUCUCGUAAAUAUUUCAUACCAACAGCAACUCCUCUUAAUACCAUAGAAUAACGGUAAGCAUUAUCUGUAAUCAUUUUCAUUUCAGUUUCACCAGCUAAAGCUUGAAUGAAUAAAGUUUUUGCUGUUCCAGGUGAACCGAUGACUAAAAUAUUUUUUGAAAUUUGUUUUGAAAACAAUCCAGAAUAAAUUUGACAAAUUAAUAAGCCUAAAGUAUAUUGAGCAGGUUCGUAAUAUUUACUAAAUUGAAUAUGUUUUAAAGAUUUCGGUUGGUGAAUAUCUAUAAAUAAAUCUGUUUCUGGCCCUUGAUAAGUUCCUGAUUGAUUUCCACUAUAAAUUGAAAAACGAUCUAGUUUUGUAAAAGAAGACGUAUAUGUUUCAGAAAAAAAAUCUAAAAAAAUAGGCUGUGAAAAAAGCAUGAAGAACUUUUGAUGAGUUUUAUGAGAACGCGAAAAUUGAGAAAAUAAAAUUUCAAAAAAAGUGUAAAGAAGAAAAUUGAAAAAAUUGUUGGAAACGUUCUUUUUCUACAAAAUUAUCAAUAAAAAAUCUUAAACUAUUUUGUUCUCCAGUUUUUUGAUGAAAAGGAUUUAUUUGAAGUUUGCUCUCUUUUAAAUUCUUUUUUGAAUUUGAAAGUUUUUGAUAUUGUUGUGUUUGAUUUUGUAUAUCCUUUAAAAAUUCUUUAUCUUGAAGUAAUUUUUCAAUAAAAAGUUCUUGUUCUUCUUUUAAAGUAACAAAAGAAGGUAUAUUCACAUUAUAUUUUUCUGCAGCUUUUAAUAAAAUUUCGGCCCAAAUAUCCCAAAAAAUAAUACCUUUUCUUUGUCGAAUUAAUAAGUCCAUAUCAGGUUGACUUAUGAUAGAACAAAAAUUUUCAAAAAAAUAAAGCAUACGUUUUUGAAAAACAAAUGACGUGAAAUUCAAAUAUGACCAAAAUACAAAAAAGUUUCCAAUAUUUGAAGGAACUCCAAAAGGGAAAAAAUGAAAGAAUAUAUUUUGAUUUCCAGAACUUAAAAAAUUUAAAAAUAAAUGGCUGCUUCGGAGAGGUCUAUUAAAUUUAUGAAAACUUUUUGCUAAAAAAAUGUUUAAUGUAUCUGGUACAAAAGUGAUUAUAUCAGAAGACCAUUCAAUUAAAAAAAUAAAUGCAAUCCAUUCAAUAAAAACCUCUGCUGGUUUUUCCAAAAAUUUAUAAAUACUAAACAUUAGUUUUUCAAUAAAAUCUAAUAUGUUGGAUGAUACAUUAUUACUAAAUUGAACAAGUGAAGAAGUGAAAAUACUUGUUGAUUUCCCGAAUAAUAAAAAAGAAAGAGCUAAUUGGCAUAAAAAUUUAUCGUUUUUAUAUAAUGUUUGAAGACUUUCUAAAUUUUGUUGCUUAAUUAUUGAAUUUUCAAUUGUACUAUGAUCAGCAAAAACUUUUUGCCAACCGAUGUUUAAUUUUUCGUAAAAUUUUCAAAAAUUAAAAAAUUUGAUUUAUUUAUGAAAAAAGAAAAUUCAAAAUCUCUUAAAAAAUUGCUUGUUUUCUGUUCGAACAAUUUGUCGUUUUUCAGAGAAUGUAAAACAUAAAAUUUUGAAUUUUUUUGACUUAAGAAUUUUGAUGAAUUCAAUUUUUCUAAAACACGAUUUCUUCUAAAAAACUGAACGAUUUUUUUUGUACCUUUAAACGAUUUUAAAUUAUCUGUUCGUUUUUUUAAAGUCCAUAAAGAACGAAUCAUAUUUUUUUCUUGAAAGUGAUUAAAAUUUGUUUGAUGAAGUGCCCAUAAUGAACGUAGAGUAGGAAUUUCUCCUGUAGGUUUAAUUGAAGAAUCAUGAAAAAUUGAUGAAAAAAUAGAAAAAGCAGGAAUUAAGGGUCGACUUGGAAUAUGAAAGUUUUCAAAAAAAAGAGCUGAUUUUGUAAAAAAAGAAGAAUUUGAAAAAAUAAGAUCGUUUUUACGUUUCGGAACCUUUGACUUUUUUUGAUUCUGCAUGAAUAAAGAUUGAUCAUCAAUAUUUUCUAACGAUUUAAAAUUUCGUAAAAUUUCAGAAACUCGAGAAUAUAAAAUACGGUUAUAUUCUGGAAAAUUUUGAAUAUUUUGAAAAUUUAAUGAUUUUUGAUUAAAUUGAUUGAACGAAUUUCCAAGAACAACUUUUUCUUGUAAAGAAUUUUUUAUAUUACAAUACCAAAAAAAUUUUCUAAAAAUAGAAUUUCGUAAAAGUAAAUCUUGAGUAUCGUUUGGAACGUGACUGAAAAAGUUUGCUAUAGGGAAUGAAAACAAAAACAUUAUUUGGUUGAAAUGAAAAAUUUUGAGAAAUUGUUUUGUUUUUUUCAUUUAAGUCGCGGAACUGAAACAUACCGCUGUUGAUUUUAUUUGGCAAUGUAGGCUGAGAAGAAAAAUUAGACGAAUUGAAAAACAAAUUAGAAUGGCGUGUUUUUAAAAAUUUUUUAUAUAAAUGAAAACGUAACCAAAUUGGUCGCGGAUAAAAACGUUUUCUUUUUUUUCUUCUUCGAGUUUCUAAUUUUUGUUUUUUCAUACGGCGUUUUUUUUGGAAAUAUUUUUCUCGUUCAAGUCUUUUGAGAGUUAAUGAAUUUGUUUCUUUAAUUGUUUGAAUUUGAAAAUUUAAAAAUUCUUUUUUCUUUUUUUCUUGUGUUUUAAAUUUUUCUACAGGUUUCGAAGGAAAGAAUACAAAACCAUCGCGUUUUAAAAUAAAAGAUGCGUUUAUAACAUUUCGAAUGUUAUAAGUUUUUAAGUUUUGAUUUAGUUGUGGAGGUGCUUCUCGAUUUUCGUCUGGAGUUUUUCAGAGAAAAUAAACUAAAUAUUUUGUAGAAAAAUAUAUUUUCUAUGGAAUUUUUUAGAGAGAGUUUUUUUUUUAUUCAUAGAAAAGUAAAAAAUUCUGAUUCAAAUAUAACACUCUUAUAUUUGCUUUCUGACAAUUUGGUUAUUAAAAAUAAAUUUUAUUUAUUAAUUUUUCGAAUGACUAAUAAAUAAGAAAUUAUAAAGCCUACUAUCGGAGUUGAACCGAUAACCUUCGGUUUACAAAACCGAUACUCUACCGAUUGAGUUAAGCAGGCAUAAAUUAGUUUUAUUUUUUGUUAAAAGAACAAAUCAAAACUUUUUAAAAUUAUAUAAAAUUUUGAUAAAAAAGUCAAAAUUUAUGAAAAUUUUUUCAUAUCUCAUAAAAAACAAAAAAAAACGUAAAAAGAGUCUGGUUUUAUUUUAAAUAAGUUAAUACAAAAAAACUUUUCAAAUUUGUGAGAAGAACAUUUUAUGAAAAUAAAAAUAAUGAAGAAAAUUUAAAUAUAUUUAUCAAAAAUGUUUUCCUAAAACAAGAUAUCCUGUGCCUGAUGGAAUUAAAUUUCCUACUAAAAUAUUUUCUUUUAAACCUUUUAAAAAAUCUUUUUUUCGAGAAAUUGAUGCUAAUGCUAAAAUUUUUGUUGUUUGUUGAAAACUUGAAGCUGAUAAAAAACUAUCAACUUCUAAAGAAGCACGAGUUAUUCCUAAAACUAUUGGUUCAUAACGAAUUUUGACCAUUAAAAAUUUAUUCAUACGUUCAACUAAAUGCAAAUUCACAAGUUCUCCCGGAAAGAACCCUGUUUGCGCACCAUGAAUAAUUUGAACUUUUGUUGUCAUUUGUCGAACAAUAACUUCUAAAUGUUUAUCAACAAUACUAACACCUUGUAAUCUAUAAACACGUUGAACACCAUCAACAAUUAGUUGUUGAAUUUUUAAAAAACUUUGUCGAACAGCUUGUUCUAAAGAUAAUAUAGAUUUAUAUCUUUGAAAAAUUCCUUUUAAUAAAAUCGGAAGACUAGAAAUAAAAAGUCUUCCUUGAAUAGUUGUUCGUGCUUCAAAAAAUUGUUCAACUUUAGGAAUACCUUGAACAAUAUCACCAGAUUGUAAAGUUUGAUAUGGUAAAGUUAAAAUUGGAACAUUUUUUUCAAUAUAUGGUGUAUUUGCUAAGUGUAAAAUUCCUUUUGGAGAAACUAAAAAUGGUUGACCACGUCUUAAAGUAGUUUUAAAUGAACUUAAAUGAACAACUUGCCCAGGUUUUUGUAUUGCAAAAUUUAAAAUACAAUCACCAGCCACAAGAAAUUUUCCUAAACGUGGUUGUUUUGAAAGAAGAGGAGAACCUAUUUUUAAAUUUUUCAAUUUAUAAAUUUUAUUUUCAUACUUUGUUACAAAAGAAGAAAUUUGAUAUUCAUUUGUGUUUUUUUUUUCAGGAAGAAUAAAUUUUUUUGUUUUUAUUAGUUUUUUUACAACAAAAUUAUUAGGAAUAUUUUGAGGAGGAAAAGAAUUGAAAAAUUCAAUAAUAGGUUGAUUUUUAAAUACAGCUUUACAUAGAUUAUUUAAAUUUUUUUGUUUUGGUUUUAAAGAAUAUUGUAUUGAAAAAUUUACAGAGUUUCUAAAAGAAUUUCCAGAAAAAGAAAAAAAGUUUUUUCUAGUUUUUUUCUUUUUAAAAGGUUUAGAAAAAUCAAGUGAAAAUAAAUCUUUUUUAGUAAGAACCGUAAACAAAGUAUUUAAUUUUUGAAUUGUUGAUAUUUCAGAAGCUUUUUUCCACCAAUUCAAUUCAUUAGUAUACAUAGAAAUCAGUUCACCAUUGAAAGGACUUAAAAAUUCUGUAUUUGCAUAAAAAUUUUGGUUUUUUUGAAAAAGAAAAUUUUGAAAUAUUGAAAAUUUUUUAUUUGAUUGCAAUAAAAAAUGAUUUUUCUUUUUUUUCUUUGAAAUAGAAUUUGAAAAUGAUAUGGUCCAAAAAUUUUUAUCUGCUUGGCAGCUUGUUCCGAUUCCUCGGCCUUUGAAUAGAGGUAAGGAAAAAUUUUUAUUUAAAGAAUUUAAAAAAUAAAUAUUUUUUCCAUCAUUGUUUAACCAAAAAUAUAUUGUUUUUUUAUUUAAGACAACUAAAGAAAACAAAUUUUUUGCUGUACAAGCAAUGCUGGUGUCAGAUUUUUUUGCCGGAGGCAAAAAAUCAAAAGUUUUUUGAAGAAAAUUGUUUUCUUUUGUGUUCGAAAAAUUUGAAAAAAAUAAAGAAAGACUCCAAUUUUUCUUUUUUUUCCAAAGAAUUCGAUAAAAUGGACUUGUUUUUUUUAUAGAAUCACCUUGUUCAAAAAAUAACUUUGAAUCAACUGAAUGAUUAAUAAUUUUUCCUGAUAAAAUCCAAAUAUUGGUCCAGUUUUUUGAUUUCCAAAGAACAUCAUGUUUUAAUUCUAUAGGAGAAAUAUCUAAAAAUUCUCCACUUCUUUUUUCAACAAAAAGAUCAAUUUUUUUUUCAGAGCUCGCUUUCACUGAUUCUGCAUGCUCAAUUUUGUUAUGGAAAGAAUUUUUUCCAAAAUUUAUUUUCACCUCUCUAUCUUUUUUUAAAAACUUUUUUUCAAAACAGUCGAAAAUUGAGAUAAAAGUUGUUUUUUACAAACCUUUUCAUUGUUUCUUAAAUAUAAAACAGCAUAUGCAGGAAUUUUAUACAUUUCAGAUAUAUGGAAAUUUUGCGUUUUUUGUUUGUUCCAUUUUAUUUGUAAAUUUAAAACAUCUUGUUGAGUAUUCAUUGAAGUUUGAGCCAAAGUAUGUUUUUUUUGUUUUUCUGCUGGAGGCUGAAUAACAAAAAAAGAACCGGGCAUUUUUGUAAGAAAAGCAACUUCACUUAAAGAUGUUCGAAUGCAACUUCCUGGUAUAUUUUGAGCAUAUUGAAUUGUUCCAUCAAAUGGGGCUAAAAUUUGAUCAGUAAGUCCACCUGCAAAAACACCGCCUGUAUGGAAAGUUCUCAUCGUUAAUUGUGUUCCUGGUUCACCAAUAGAUUGAGCUGCAAUAACCCCUACUGCUUCACCCACAGAAACAAGUUUUCCUUGAGAUAAACUCCAUCCAUAACAAAGCUGGCAAAUGAAUCGAGGUGUUUCGCAAGUUAAUGGAGAGCGCACUAAAGCUUUUUUUAAGACUUUUGCAAUAGCAAAAGCUAAUUUUGAAUCUAUUUCUUGAUUUCGAGAAGCAAGUAAAGUUUUUUGGUUGUCAGUUUUUGUUUAAUAAAAAAUAUCUUGAGCUAAUACUCGACCAAUUAAUCGGUUUUGAAAUGAAUAAAUUGUUUUAUUUGCUUCUUUCAUAUCAAAUAAAAAAAUUCCUCGAUAUGUACCACAAUCAAACUGAGAAACUAUAACAUGUUGAGCUACAUCUACUAAUCGUCUUGUUAAAUACCCUGCUGUCGCUGUUCUUAAAGCAGUAUCUACAAUACCUUUUCGAGCACCAUAAGUUGAAAUUAAAUAUUCAGUUAAAGUUAAUCCUUCACGAAAAUUACUUUGAAUAGGAAAAUCAAUAAUUUGACCUUCCGGAUCAGACAUUAAACCUCGCAUACCUACUAGUUGACGUACUUGUGACAUAUUCCCUCUUGCGCCAGAAAAUGCCAUCAUAUAAAUUGGAUUAAAUAAAUCUAGUGUUGAAAAAUAUUUAAGAACUUCUUGUUUUAACAUAUCAUUUGUCUGAUUCCAAAUAUAAAUUAAACGUUGUGUGCGUUCAAUUCCUGUUAUUUUAGCAUUUCGAUAAUCCAUAAAAUCUUUUGCCACUUUUGUUUCUGCUUUUGAAACAAGACUCAUUUUUUGAUGCGGAAUUGUUAAAUCAUCAAUACCUAAAGAAAUGCCUCCAGUAGUUGCAUAACCGAAUCCAAAUUCUUUUAAUUUUUCUAAAAAAAGUAUUGUUUUAUAGUGACCAUAUUUUUCAAAAAACCAAGAAACAACACUUUUUAAAUGACCUUUAUCAAAAGAAAAAUUAAAAAAAAAAGGUUCUAAUAUUGGCAUUUUUGUUUCACUCGCUAAAUGCAUCAAAUUUUGUUGAGAACAACAAUCAAACAAAAAAAAGCUGUUUUUUAUGCGCGCCUGCCCUUGCUCGUAGGGCAGCGGCAAGCAACGCUGAGCGUGUAAAUUUUUUUUCUUUGAGAAUUGUAUUUUCUUUUCAAAAGAUAAAAUUUUUUUAGAAAUUUCUUUUUGAAAAAAUACUGUAAUGGAUUUUCAUUUAAAAAUAAAUUUCGAAAUUUAUUUGAAAGUUUUUAAAUGAAAAAAAAAGAUGAAAAUGAUUUAAAAUGAAAAAAAAACUAGCUCAGCAACACGUCACCAUAUGGCCUUGUGAGUAGCGUUAUGCUUUUUCAAAAGCCUCCUUCCCGUUGCGCUAAAACUCUAGUCGUAUCGUAUAAAGAAACGCAUGUUUUUAUUAUAAAAGAUCAGGUAAAAGCGAAACAGAAUUUGCAGUAGGUUUACGCGUUUUUGUAUAACCUUUAUAAAUCCAAACUUUUACCCCAAUAAUUCCAUAAAUAGUUUGAGCUGUUUUAUAACAAUAAUCAAUAUUUGCUCUUAAUGUUUGAAGAGGUACUCGCCCUGCACGAACCCAUUCUGAACGAGCAAUUUCAGCUCCAUUUAAACGACCUGAAACUUGAAUUUUAACCCCUUUUACUUUUGGAGUUUUCAUUAAAUCUUCUUUUGCUUUUUUAAUCACGCGUCGAAAAGCUUUUCUUUUUUCUAAAUCAUCAACAAUAGAAUCAGCAACCGCAGAAGCUCUUGUUUCAAAACUUAAAGCUUUUACUGAAUAAAAUUGAAUUGAAAUUUUUGGAGUUAAUUCAAUAUUUUGUUCGCAAAUUGUUCUUUGUUUUUGAAGUUGUUCUACAAAAAUAUCAACAAAAUUUUUUUUCGCCUCCGGCAGAGAAAGAUUUUUUUGUGAAAUAUUUAAGAAUGUUUUUGAAAUAUUUUUUUUUAAAAUUUCUUGUUUUUGUUCAGGAGUUAAUCCAAUAUAAUUUUUUGAAGAAAUCCCAAAUAAAAAUUCUGUUUGUUGUUUUGUAAAUGAUUGAAUUUUUUUUAAAUUUUGACGAGCAUCUGAAAUCGUUGUUAAAUAUAAGAAAAGAUUUUUUGAACGAUGUGUUUUUACUAAAUUUUGUAAAUGAUCAAUAAAUUUCAUUGUAUGUUUUUCCUCAUGAAUUUUUGAGAAUUUUUUUUGAAUAGAUUUUUUUGUUAAUAAAGCAACUUUCGAAGCAAAUUUUUGAUUUGUCAUUUUUUGUGAAGAAUCGAUAUGUAAAGUAUUUUCAGAAAAUAUUGAAUAUUUUGCUGUUUUUCGCAUUGAAAUAAAUUUCUUAAAAUUUUGAAGAAAACGAAUUCUUUGAUAAUAUGAAAGAGUUUUCGUUUUUGAAAAUUUUCCAAAAACUAAAUAUUCUUUUCUUAAUCUUUCUAAUUUUCCUAAUGCACGUUGUUGUAAAGCUUUGUACAGUUUUAAUAAGAAAGGAAGUGAUAAUUUUUCAAAACGUUUAAAUCGAAGAGAACUCCAUUUUUUUUUCGAUCCUAAAGGUAAAUAACGGAAAGAACCAAAAGAUUUAAAUUGUUCAUUUUUUGAUUUUGUAAAAAAUUGAUUCCAAAAAUUCAAUUCUACUUUUAAAGCAUUAAGAAAAGAACUAUUUGUUUUUGACAUAUAUAAAUUAACAAAUUUUGCACAUGGUUUUGAAAAGUUUGGUUUUAAAACUCUUGAUUUAAAAAAACUUAAAUAAGCUUUUUGUUUUGGAGAAAACUGAUCACGAAUUUUAUUUGUUUUCACAUUUGAAGAAUUUUUUGAAAAAGGUGUCAUAAAUUUAUUUUUUCUAAAAUUUCUUCUUCUUUCUUGAAGAGUUUUUUUGAAAUAUGAAACAAGGUUAUUUCUUAAAGAUAAUUGUUUUCUUGGAUCAAAUUUUUUUGUGAUUUUUUUGCCAUUUUUCACAAUAAUAAGUUUCCCUAAAAAACGUUGACGGAAACGAGCAAAUAAUUUUUUUCUUUUUUCAAUUAUCGCUUUUGCUUCUUUUUUUGUAUUUAAAUUUUGCUUUCCAACUUUUUUUUGAUUUCUAUUUCCAAUUUUAUUCUCAGGAGUUGAAGAAAUUUUUUCACUAGUUGAAAAGAAAUUUACACUUUCAUUUUUUUCAUUUUUUGAAGUUAAAGCAUUUUUAGAUACUGUUUUUUCUAAAAUUAAAUGAUUCUUUAAAAGAGUUUUCAUGAAAUUUGGUUGAACUUCUAAGUCUUCAAAAGCAGUUUUGAUUAAAUGACAAUUUUGAGCAUAAAUUUGAAUACCAAUUUCAUACGGAAUUAAUCCACGUAUAAUUUGAAUAUGAGAAAUUUUAGGCAUAUUCAUUGAAUUAUUGAAUUUUUUUUGGAAAAGUUGUGGAAGUAAUUUUAAUAAAUUUUGUCGUAAAAAUCUAUCUUCUAAAACAGACUGUGCAUAUUGAUGUUUUUGAAAUCUAGCAAACCAUACUGAUUGAUGUUUUUUUGUAAUACCAACACGAAAUCCUAAUGGAUGAAUUUUUUGUCCCAUAAUAAGUUUAUAUUUAUAACUUUUUAAAAAAAUUUAUUUUUUGCAAUAAGUUUUAUUAUAUAUUAAUAUAAUUUUUUCUUAUUAGUUUCUGCCUAGUCUUCGGCAAGGCGUAAAUUUAUUUUUAUUUUUUUAAAUAUGUUGAACUUUUUGAAAACAAUUGAAUUAUUGAAUAAUUGUUCAAAUAUUUCUAUAAAUUUUUAUUUUAAGCUCACAAAAAAAUUGAUUUUAUUCAUUUAAACUUUCUUUUAAAAUUUUCUCCGUGUUUUAGUUUUUUAAGUUUCUUGUUUUAUUCGAUUUUUAAAAAGAAAGAUGAAAUAAAACAAGAAACUUAAAAAAUGAAAAAUAAUUUCUCAAUUAAAAUAAUAAUUAAAAAAAUUUCAAUUAUUUUGACGAACUUUUAUUUAGUUUGCUAACUAAAAAAUUUUUAGAAAGAUACUAAAAAUUAUCAGUUUGUACAAAACCAUUAUUUUUGGAAUUUAAAGAAAAUGAAAAUGAAUCUAUAUUUUGAUUUCGUCUUAAAGGUCGAGUCACUAAAUUUAAAAUUUCACGAGCAUUCGUAAAACCGUGAAUUUGAGCAAAAGUAAAUUCGACAGACCAUUUUGUUGUUAUAUUUCUAGCUUCUAAAGGAUUUGCAUGAGCCAUCCCAGUAAUGACUAGGUCAGGUUGUAAUUCUUGAAUGCGACUUAUUUGAUAAUAAUUAUCGGGUUUUUCAACAAUACGAGGAAUAGGCACAUUCAUUUGACAACAUGUUUCUUCUAAUAAAGCAAGUUCAGCUGCUUGAUAUCGACGAUCCAUAUAUGGAAUUCCUAUUUCAUAUACAACCAUUCCACAACGAAUUAAAAAUCGAGCUAAUGAAAUUUCUAAUAAAUUAUCGCCCAUAAAAAACACAGAUUUUCCUUGAACAAGUUUUAAAGAAUCAGAAAGACUUUCCCAUAUAGUAGAUUCACGUUCAUUUAAACCAAUUGGGGUUUUUUCAUAAACUGAACAAAUUUUUUCAAUCCAAGCUUUUGUUCCAUCAGGUCCAAUUGGAAAAGGAGCACUUAUAAAUUUACAUUUACGACGUCUCAUUAAAGUAGUAGCUGUUCUACUUAAAAAUGGAUUGACUCCACAAACAUAUGUAUUUUCAUCUAAUAUUGGAAGAUCAGAGUAUCGAGUUGAAGGAAGCCAUCCAUGAAUUUCUAUUCCUUGACGGUUUAAUUCAAGUUUCAAUUGUGUUGCGACAGUGUUAGGUAUUGAACCAAAUAAAACAAGCUUUGGAGAAAUUUUUUUUGGUGAUACUUCUUUGUAUAUGAAAUUUUGAUCAUCGAAAAUUUUAUUUUGCUUAGUUGUUUCUGCCCCCGGCGUAAAAGCAUUUUGUAGUGAUUUAUUUGUAAAACAUGAUUCUUCUAAAUUAUUUUUGUGAAAGCUAAACGGAAAUUUUGUUUCUAAUUUAUGUACAAUAUUAUUAUUUAACAAAUUUUUCAUAGUUUUUUCAAAAUUUGUAUUAAAAACGCUAUUUAAACUAUUUUUUUGAACAGUUUGAGAAUUUGAAAUAUUUAAUUUGCUUUGAUCUUUUUUUUCAAUUUUUUCUGUUUCGUUGAUAUUAUAUUCUUUUAAAAUCGAUGGACAUCUUUGUGCCAUCGCUGCUAAAACAGUAUCUUCACCUUGUGUAAAUGCAUAAUCUAAACCAUUUGCUCGUGCAACAAUAAUUGGUAUUCCUAUUUCUUUUUCUAAUUGGGGUGCCAUACCUUCUAAAUCCAUUUUUAUAAUCUCAGUAGUACAUGUUCCAAUCCAAACAAUAACACUUGGAUUGCGAUCUUCUUUUAUUUGAAUACAAAGACGUUUUAAUUCUUUAAAAUCAUUUAAUUGAGCAGAAAUAUCACUUUCUUCUAAUUCAGCCAUCGCAUAUCGAGGUUCAGCAAAAAUCAUCACGCCCAAUGCAUUUUGAAGAAAAUAACCGCAUGUCUUUGUUCCAAUGACUAGAAAAAAACUAUCUUCAAUUUUUUGAUAUAACCAAGAAACACAACUAAUCGGACAAAAUGUAUGAUAAUUUCCUGUUUCACAUUCAAAAGUUAAUUUUUCUUUUUGGUUUAUUAAAUUAGUCACAAAUUUAUUUUUUAAGUUUAUUUUUCUUUAUUGUUUUUCUUUUAGAUUCUUUUUUACUUUUGUUUUUUCUAAAAACAAAAACCACUGCAAAUAAUUAAUUUUUUCAUCUACUAACCUUUUUGUUUCUAAAAUUUUUUUCUGCUUGGCCAGUUGGGCUUCGCCCUUGCCCAAAGGGCAAGGGCUAGGGAGCGCUAAAAUAAAAAGAAUCGGAAACUAAAAAAAAAAAAAAAAAAAAAUUUUCUGAUGGUUUAUAAAAUUAUCAUUUUUUUAAUUCGGCUUCAAAACUGUAAAAAAAAAUUUUUUUUUGUACAGCUUUUUUUAGAAUAAAAGAAAAGAACAAAAAAAUUUUAUAAAAAUUUCAACAUUAAGUAAUAAAUGAAAAUUUAUUUGAAUAUAUUUUAGCACAAAAAUAUUUUUUUUUAAAUAAAAAAAAUAAAAAUUAGAGUUUUGCAACUUAUGGUAAUUGCAUUAAAUGUUCAAUUUGUGUUAAAAACCCUUUUUUAUUUAAUUGAAAAAGGCCAAUAUCUAAACAUAAAGCUUGAAGUUCACAAAUUAAAACUUUAAAUGAUUCUGGCGUGCCAAUAUAGAUUGGCAUAUUUCCAAUAAUAUUGGACCAUAAAGUCAUUCGUCCACUAAUAUCGUCUGAUUUAAUAGUGAGCAUUUCUAAUAAAAUAAAAGCAGCCCCAUAAGCUUCAAUCGCCCAUACUUCCAUUUCUCCAAGUCUUUGACCUCCAAAUUUAGAACGACCUCGUAAAGGUUGUUGUGUAACAAGUGAGUAAGGACCUGUUGAACGAGCAUGAAUUUUAUCAUCAACUAAAUGAACAAGUUUUAACAUAUAAGCAAUUCCAACAGUUACUGGAUUCAUAUAUGGUUCUCCAGUAGCACCAUCAAAAAUAAGCAUUUUUCCAGGCGAACAUGGGUUAAAUAACCAUUUUUGAGAAGUUUUGAGACGAGCUUCAUAUAACUUUCCAAAUGUCAAACUUCGAGAAGCAUGUGGUCCAUACAUUUCAUCAAAAGGUAAUAUUCUAUAAUAUUGCUUUAAAUAUUUUGCAGCUAGUCCUAACAAACAUUCAUAAAUUUGACCAACAUUCAUUCGAGAAGGAACACCUAAUGGAUUUAAAAUCAUAUCAAGAGGAGUUCCAUCUGGUAAAAAUGGCAUGUCCUGAAUAGGUAAUAUUUUAGAAACAAUUCCUUUAUUCCCAUGACGUCCUGCCAUUUUAUCACCAACUUGAAUUUUUCUUUUUUCUGCUAAAUAAACUUGAACUCGUUGAGGCUUUUUUUGAAUUGUUUUUAAAAUUUUUCGAUUUUCUGAAAAUUUUUGAUUUUUUAAAAUUGAAAAUUUUUUUUAAAUUGAAAAACUUAAAAUUUUAAUUUCAAUUACUUUUGCUUUUAAUCCUUUAGGAGUUCGUAAUGAACUAUCACGCAUUGGUAUCAAUUGUUUUUCUAAAAUUGCAUAUAAUAAUUUUUCAUAAGGAGAUUUAUAUUUUUUUUGAAUAGGAGUAACUUUACCUACAAGAAUUUGUCCCUCUGUCACAACUGUUCCGAGUUUCACAAUACCACGUGUAUCUAAAUGAUUUGUUUCUUUUUCAGAAACUUCUGGAAUUUGAUUUGUAAUUUGUUCUUUUCCUAAUUUUGUUUUUCUAGUUUCAACUUCAUAUGAUUCAAUAUGAACUGAUGUGUAAAUAUCUUCAGAAACUAAUCUUUCACUAAUUAAAAUAGCAUCUUCAUAAUUAUAUCCUUUCCAAGGCAUAUAUGCAAUAAAAAUAUUUUUUCCUAAACAUAAUUCACCACCUAAACUUGAAGCGCAAUCCGCUAAUAAAUCUCCAGAUUGAACCCAAUCUCCUUCUCGUACUGUUGGUCUUUGAACAAUAAGAGUAUCUUGAUUUGAUCUUUGAUAUUUUUGAAGAGAAUAUUUUGAAGUUUUUUGUAUUUUUUGAUUUUGAGUUUUAUUAGAAUAAAAGAAAGUUGCAAAAGUCAAAAAAUGAGAAAUUUUCAUUUUUUUUAUUUUUAAAAAAUUUUUGAAAUAUUUUAUAUUUCUCUUUCAUAAAUUUAAUGAAAAAUCAUUUUUUUCCUAUUUUGCUUAGUCUAUUAUUGUUUUCUAAGCUUUAUCCCCAGCAAAGCUUACAACCUCCGCUUCUUCCAUUUUUUUUUUUUAAAAUUUUUUAUUUUCUAAAAUUUGAAUUUUUGUUUUCAUUUUUAAUAAUUGCUUUUCAUUUUUUUUCUUUCUCCUCAUUUUUCAUUGAAAUUCAAAAAGCUAAUUCAAUUUUCAAUAAUCAAAAGUUGAGAAAAUUUAUGAAAAUGUAUAAACAGAAAUUUUCGAUCCACUCGCGAAAACAACAUAGCCACUCAAUUUAGAAAUAAGAGCAUGUCCAGAAUCAUUUACAACUCUUGCUUCUAAUCCAGUCCCUAAAAAAGCACGUUCUGGUCGAAUUAAAGGUACAGCUUGUCUUUGCAUAUUUGACCCCAUUAAAGCGCGGUUUGCAUCAUCAUGUUCUAAAAAUGGAAUGAAUGAAGUUGCAACUGAAAUCAUUUGAAGCGGAGAAAUUCCAAUCAAUGAUAAUUUUUUACUUUUCAUUCGAAUAAAACGUUUUCCGAUUCGAACAGGAAUUGAUUUUUUUGGUAAAAAACCUAAAGCUGUGACAUUUAAAUCAGGUGUCGCUGUUUUAAAAUAUUCUUCUUGAUCAGGUGUUAAGAAAAAAACUCCUAAAUUUUUUUGAAUUUGUCGUUUAUAAACUUUAUGAAAAGGUGAACAAAGAAAUCCUUGAAAAGAAAUUUUUGCAUAAGUUGUAAUUGAAUUUACUAAACCGGUAUUUUUCCCUUCGGGUGUUUCAAUUGGACAUAUUCUACCAUAAUGUGAAGGGUGAAUUCCACGAAUGGCUAAAGUUGCGGUAUCUCUUGAAACACCACCAGGCCCUAAGGAAGUUAAUCGACGUUUAUGUGUAAUUUCAGAUAAAGGAUUUAUUUGAUCCAUAAAUUGCGAUAAUGGAUGAGUCCCAAAAAAUUCCCGAAAAGCACCAUUUAUUGGUCGAGUAUUAAUUAAUGAUUGAAAAUUUAAAAAAUUUUGUUGAAGCAAUGUUUGUGAAUUUGCAGAAAAUUUUAAAUGAAUAGAUUUUUCUAAUCGAAUUAAACCAAUAUUUAAAAUUUCUUGAAUAGAUUCUCCGGCUGUUCGAACUCUUUUAUUUUUUAAAUGGUCGAUAUCAUCAAUUUCUAAAAAACCAUCUUCAAUUUUCAUUAAACAAUCUGUUGUUGUUAAUAUAUCUAUUGCAGUUAACGUUGUUUGGUUUAUUGGAAGAGUUAAUCCUAAUUUUUUAUUCAAACAUAAUCUUCCUUGUUUACCUAAAUCAUAUGUUUUUGGAUUCAUAAAUUUAUUUGAAAACCAUUUUCUUCCUAAUUCAUAAGCAGAAAGCUUACUAGCAAUUCGUUUUUCAAAAUUUUCUUUUUUAUUUUGUUGGGCUUUUUGGUUUUUAGAGUUUUCGUUUAAAAAAGAUUUUUUUGCUUUUUGUUGAAAACAAAAAUAUUUUUUUUUCUUUUCAAGUUUUAAAGUAAAUUUUUGAUGAAAUAAAAUUUUUUCUGCUGGGCCGGUUGGGCUUUGCCCUUGCCCUACCGGGCUAGGAAGCGCAUAAAAAUGAGAAUUUGUUUCAUUUUGUUCCUGCGACAAAUGAAUAUUUUUUUUAAAAAAAGAAGAUUUUCGAAGAAUUUUUUUUAAUUUAAAAAUUUUUUGAAUUUGUUCCCACGCUUCUCGAGAAUUUGAUACAUAAGGAUACUUAAGUUCUUUUGAUGACUUUGAUUUUUUCAUUUUUUCCAUUUCUUUGGAAAAAUUUUCUAACAAGUACAUUGGUUUUGAAACAAAAUUUAAAAUAUAUUUUUCACUUAAUCCCAUUCCUAAUAAAAACCAGAAUAAUGGAAUUUUUGGUCCUUUUUUCAUUUUUGCCCACAUUGAAAAAUCUUUAUCGCAUUCAAUUCGUAGCCAUGUUCCUCUUAAACAUAUAAUAUCAGCAUAAUGUCGACUAAAAGUGGUUGUUGGUUUAUUAGACCAUUUGUUUGAAUAAAUUUCAUGUAUAUUUUCUCUAAAAUAUACACCAGGACUACGUACUAAUUGAUGAAUGAUGACUCUAGGUGAACCAUUUAACACAAAGUGCCCUCGAUUUGUCAUGAUUGGAAAAUGUGCAAGUAGCAUCCAUUUUAAAAAAACACGUUUAUUUUUUCGAUCAGUAAGUUGUACUGGAACAUAUAAUUUUGAAACAUAACUUUUUUUAUAGAAAAUAGCUUGUUGAAUAGAAUAAAAAGGUUUUGUUAAACGAUAAUGUUCAGGAUAAAAAUAAAUUUCUAUUUGUUUUUCAAGACAAGUAAUUGGAUUACGUUUUGUGAUUUCUUCAAUAAUUCCUUUUUCUAACAAAUGAAAAAAUCCUUGUCGUUGAAUUUCUACUAAAUCUGGAAUAUAAUAAUUUAAAUUAUACAUAUUUUAAAUAAGAAAAUAUUUGUAUAGGUUUUGAUUCUUUAAAAAUUAGAAUACAAAAAUUUUUCAAACCAAAAAAUUUAUAAAAGAAAAACAAAGAAAAAAAUAAAUUUUUACUAUUUUUAGAUUUCAAAAAUUGAAAUCUUUUCAAAUUUUUUGAAUUAUGAUAUAAUAAAAAAACAUAAAAAUUUUUUUUUAUUCUGCUGAGCCCAGCCUUGCCCUAGCCCCUGCCCUGCCUUGGCAAGUAGAACAAACAAAAUUUAACAUAGAAAACAUUUGAAAUGUUUUUUCGAGUAAAUUUCAUUUUUCGAAAGUUUUUUAAAUACAGAGAAUGAAAAUGAAUAUUUUUUUUUUCAUUUUCAUUGUGAACUUUCCAUAUUUAUCAAAAAUAAAUAUCCAUUAAACAAAAAUAAAAGAUAUGAGAAAAAAUUUCUGCAGGGCCAAGGUCAAACCAUAGCCCCGUAGCGCUAAAAAAUAAAAAAUUCAUUUUUUUCUUGUGAAAAAAUUUUUUUUUUUAUUUAUGACAACAAGAAAAUCAGCUGAAGCUAUUACAUAUCCUAUUUUCACUGUUCGUUGGUUAGCUAUUCACGCGUUAGCUGUUCCGACAGUUUUCUUUUUAGGUUCUAUUACAGCGAUGCAAUUUAUUCAACGUUAAUUUUUUUUUCUCCCCUGCCUACGGUAGGGCUAAAAAUUUUUUUUUGAAGAAUGAAAUAAUUUUUCAAAAAUUUAUUUAAAAAUCAAAAAUAGAGAGUUUCUCUAGAAACAAAACUUUUUAAAAUAUAUAUUUUGUCAUUAUAUAUAAUUAUAUAUAUUCACUGUGAUGCUGGGUUGGCGAUGCCUUCCCCUAUAGGAUUCGCCCUUUGCUGGGUUGGCGAUGCCUUCCCCUAUAGGACUUCGCCCUGUAGCGCGACCCAGCAGAAAAACUCUCAUCAAAAUAUUCCCUUUAGGUCCGUAAUAGACGGAAUUCAUCAAACUGGAAAAAACGCAAAAUAAAAACUAAAAGGCUAAAAUGAACAAAUAUUUACUGAUUUUAAAAUAAAAAAUUCACCCAUUUUUUGUAAACAGAAAACUAUAUUUUGUAAAAUUUUAGACCUUAAUUAUUUUUUUAUAUGGCUAGACCUAAUCCCAAUAAACAAGUUGUAGAAUUAAACCGUACUAGUCUUUAUUGGGGACUAUUAUUAAUUUUUGUUUUAGCUGUUCUAUUCUCUUCUUAUAUUUUCAACUAAUUUUAUUUUUCAAAUAUUUCAGUAAAAAAUAUUGAAAACAAUUUUAGCUUAUAGUAAAUACUUACAUUAUUGAAAAAAAUUAUUAAAAAUUUAAUAAUUUCGAGAUUUUUAAUUAAUGGAUUUGUUUGUUGUUUUAGUAUUAGCUUUUCAUUGUGAAUUUCACAAAUUCAUAUUUUCCAAGCAAAAGCUAAUAUUAAAACUUUUUUAAAAAAAUAUAUUUUUCCAAAAUUGCAAAGACGAAUAUUUAAGGAUUUGUUUUUUUUAUUAGCUUUUCUUUCAAAUUCAUAUUUUCCAAGCAAAAGCUAAUAUUAAAACUUUUUUAAAAAAAUAUAUUUUUCCAAAAUUGCAAAAAAUCUUUUAAAAUUUCAGAAAUUUCUUAAAAAAAAUGAAAAAAAUAAUCUUCAAAAAAAUGACAUUUAAAAAAAAAAAUGAUAUAAUUUGAAUAUAAAGGGGAUAUGGCGGAAUGGUAGACGCUACGGACUUAAAAAUAAAUAUUCUUUUGAGCUUUUCUACAGAUAUUUAGAAAAUGAAAACUUUCAAAAUCAGAAAAAAACUUUUUAAAUUUAAAUUCUUUUUUAAUUAAAAAUGCAAAUUUUUCAGCAAAAUUAGUGGCACAAAGAAUAUCAUAAAUUUUUAAAGGUAAAAUUCUGAACCUAGUUGUUGUUUUUCGCUUUUUUUAGUUAAGUUGAUAUAACGUAAAGAUACUAAACUUUAAGAAAAAACUUAAAAAAACCCCAAUGAAUUAAAUCUAUAUUCUAAAAUAAAAUAUUCAAAAAAUUUUUUUUUUUAAUCUUCCUUUCCAAAUAAAGGAUUUGGAAGUAAAAAUAAAGUUUUUUAAAUGUAAAACUGAAUUCCAUUAGAAUUUUUCUAGAGAAUUUUGAAUUUUGAAAUAUUCAAAAUUUCAUUUCAAUCUUUCAGUUUCAUAAAUUUUUUUUUAAUAAUUUUUCUAUUAUGGUUGAACCUUUACUUUCAGGAAUUGUAUUAGGCUUAGUUCCAGUAACUAUCGCAGGUUUAUUUGUCACUGCAUAUUUACAGUAUCGUCGUGGAGAUCAAGCAACUUGGUAAUUAAAAAUAAUUUCAAAAUUUAUUUGUGGUUUUUUUUGUUUUAAAAUUACAAAACUACAAAUAAAUUUUAAAUUAUUGAAAGUGUAAAAUGAAAAUAAAAAGUAGCUUAAAUAAAAAAAUUUCUAAAAUAAUACUUAUUUUUUUGCAGAACUCUUUGUAGAAGCUAAUUUUACUCCAUAUUUUGAACGACUUUGAACUCGAUUUUUUACUCCAGCAGUGUCUAACGUUCCUCGAACAAUGUGAUAACGCACACCAGGUAAAUCUUUUACCCUCCCUCCGCGAACUAAAACAACAGCAUGUUCUUGUAAAUUAUGGCCAAUUCCUGGAAUAUAAGCAGUUACUUCAAAUCCAGAAGUUAAUCGUACACGAGCAACUUUUCUUAAAGCUGAAUUUGGUUUUUUAGGAGUAACAGUAUAAACGCGUAAACAAAUACCUCUACGUUGCGAACAUGAUUUUAAAGCAGGAGCUUUUGUUUUUUUUGAAACUUUUUUUCGAGCCGAACGAAUAAGUUGUUGAAUAGUAGGCAUAUAUUUCAGAUUAUUUUUUUAAUGAAAAAAUGAGACCAACUCAAAAUAUUAUUUUAGAAAUUAUUACGUUAUUUCAUAACUCUAUGAAACAACGAUUUAAAUCGAAAAAAAAUAUUUAGAAAAAUGAAAAAUAAAAUUUGAAAUUUUCUCAUUUUUAGUUUUCAAAAUUUUUAAAUCAAAUAUACAGAAAUAAAAAUGUUGAUAAAAUUGACAAUUGUAAAAAUUCACAUUUCUCUUUAUAAUAUAGUAUCAAAAAUUUUAAAUUUGUUUAUUUUUGUUUGUAGUUUUGAGAUUUUUAUCACUAUGAAAAUGUCUCUCACAAAAAUUUUAGAGAAAAAAUUCUAUUUUAGAGUAUAAGAUAUAUACUCUAAAAUAGAAAAACAUUCUCUGUUGAUAUUUUUGUUAAAAAUAAACUUUUUAAAAUAUAUUAAAUCAAAAUAAAUUAAAAUGAAAAUACUAAAGGAUCAGGGAAAAAUCUAUUAAUUUCAAUUAAUAAAGCUGCAGUAACUGUAAACCAAGCUAAAGCAACGACAGGAGCUGUUGAUAAAUAAGUAGUAAAAUUUUUCAUAAAAUUUUUUUUCUAAUUGUUUCAAAUAUAAUAUUAAAAAACUGUUUAAAAUUUCAUUGCCAAGACCUCAAAUGCUUCUGGCUACGGUAGCGUGUAGAACUCGCGCUUGGCAUAAUUUAAUGAAAUUUUAUGCGCGUAGCGCCCAAAUUUGAAACACUUUUCUUUCUUGGUUAUAUAAAAAAAUUUAUAUAUUUUUUCGAAAAUAAUGAUUUUUAUGUUUCUUUUAAAAAUUUUUAUAUUGAUAAGAGCCGAAAGUAAAAAAAAAUCAAAAAUUUUUAAUGGUGGUCUUCUAAAGCUUCACCAAUAUAAGCACCUGCCAAUGUUGCAAAAACAAGAGCUUGAAUGGCACUUGUAAAACAUCCUAAAAGCAUAAUAGGAAUAGGAAUAAUUAAAGGAACUAGAGAAACAAGUACUCCUACUACUAAUUCAUCCGCAAGAAUAUUUCCGAAUAAACGGAAACUUAAAGAUAAUGGUUUAGUGAAGUCCUCUAAAACAUUAAUCGGUAAUAAAAAUGCUGCUGGUUGAACGUAACGGUUAAAAUAACCUAACCCUUUUUUACGAAUACCUGCAUAAAAAUAAGAAAUUGAUGUUAAUAAAGCAAGAGCUACUGUAGUAUUAAUAUCAUUUGUUGGCGCAGCUAAUUCACCGUGAGGAAGUUCAAUUAAUCGCCAUGGUAAUAAAGCUCCAGACCAAUUUGAAACAAAAAUAAAUAAAAAUACAGUUCCUAAAUAAGGAACCCAUUUUAAAUAUUCUUCUUCACCUAUUUGCGUUUUUGCUAAAUCACGAAUAAAUUCAGUUACAAAUUCAGUAAAAUUUUGUAAUCCAUCUGGUGUUGAUUUUAGAUUACUAUUUGCUAAAAAAGAUAAAAUAAAAAUAACAGCUAAAACAAACCAUGAAACUAAUAAUACUUGGCCAUGUACUUCAUAAGCACCUAAUUGCCAAUAAAAAUGUUGUCCAACAGAAACUUCUGCAAUUUCUGAAAUUGGACUAAGAAGAAAAUGACUCAUAAAUUUUUUAAAAAUUACUUUUUUAUUUUUUCAAAUUGAACAAAUUACAAACAUAUGUUUAACAACUAUUUUUAUACAGUUAUUAACAACGAUUUUAUUUGAUUUAAAAAGCAAAGUUUUUUUAACACUAGUGGGCCUGGGGCUUCGUCGUAAUUUUUGGUGAUCUCGGUGGUCUAAGCCCAGUGGCUCAAAAAAAAUGAGUCAAUUUUUAUUUCUAUUGUAAAAUUCAUAAAGAAAACAAAAAAAGACUCAUCCAAAUGAACAAAAAAAUUUUGAUGCUGAGUCGCGCGUAGGGCCUGGGUAAGACGAUAAAAUACCCUUACCCAGGCCCUGCAGGAGAAAGCAUCCCAACCCAGUAGCGCGAAAUUAUAAAGAAGAACCUAAACCAACAUAAGAACCAUAAAAAAAGAUUGCAAGAAUAGCAAGAGCAGCUGUACCUACAAAAGUUCCAACUAACCAUAAUGGGAUACGUCCAGUAGUUCCUGUAUUAGACAUAAGAAAAACAAUAUUUAGAUGUAUAUAGAUAAAUCAAGAAAAAAUAAAAAUUCACUGAAUUAGUUUCCAGUCUCUCUAUAAAAGAAAAUUUUCUCUUUUUCUUGGGAAUCUUUGGUUUUUAAAAAUUUUAAAAUUUUUAAAAAAGAUAGCCUCAAAACAACAAAAUCAAUAAAAACACGAAUGUGCUCAAAAUUUGAAUACUUUUUUUAUUGUUUUUUUAUUCCUAAAUGAUUCAAAGAACAAAAAAAAUAUUUUUUAAAUUUUUUUUUUUUAAAAAUAAACAAUAAAAAAGUAAACUGUGUUGGAAAAAAAAUCUAAAAAUAUUUCAUAAAAAAGCUUUAUUCAAAGUUCUAAAACUACAAAUUUUUUUUAUGAUAGUAUUAAACAAAACAAUAUAUUGGUUAAAAAAAAAUUAGCAUGUUUUUUCAAAAAAAAACAUGUAAAUGAUGAAAAGUUGUUUAAAAACUUUUCUAUAUAGUCGGUUUAGAGAAUUUUUUUUUAAUAUUAAAACAACUUCAUAUAUUAUAUAAAAAAAUUUUUGUUUCUAUUAAUUCGUUUCGCACCCACUUAACCAAAUGAAAAUAACACCUAAUUGUCCAAAGUGAGCACUAAAAACUUUUCUUGAAAUUUCUUCUAAAUCACUUGUAUGACUGUCAAAAUCAUGAGCAUCAGCGUGAAGAUUCCAAAUCCAAGUAGUAGUAUUUGGUCCUUUUGAAAGAGUUCUAGAAAAAUGUCCUGGUUUAGUUGGAAAAAUAGUUUAUUUUUUUAUUUUUUAUUCAUUUUUUAUUUGAUUUUUUCUCUUCUUUUUUUUAAGUAAAAAAUAAAUUAACAAGAGCUAAUUUACUUUAUUCAAUUAUUAAAGAAUGAAUAAAUUUAUUGCUUUCUCUUUUUAAGAAAUUCAUAAAUUUAUAUUUUCUAAAACAAUUAAAAAAUGAAUUCUUCAAAAAUAUGAGCAUUUAUUUUUCGGUAAGAAACUGUCAAUAAAAAAAAAGAGGGGCUCUACAAUUUAAAACCAUUCAAUAAUAAAAAAUAUUGAAUUUAAAAAAACAAAAAACUGAAAAAAUUUAGAAAUAAAAAAAAAUAUUUCUUGAAAUAACAAAAACAAAAUUUGUUAUUUCAAGAAAUAUCUUAAGAAGAAAUAAAAAAUAUUAUUUGUUUAAAUAUUGAUUAUAGAGCAUUACCACGAGGUAAUACUUCUUCAGGGAAUACAAGACGUUCAUGUGGUUGGUCUUGCGCAGCCAUCCAAGCACGGAUACCUUCAUUUAAAAUAAUAUUUUUUGUGUAGAAAGUUUCGAACUCAGGAUCCUCAGCUGCACGAAUUUCUUGUGAAACGAAGUCAUAAGCACGUAAAUUUAAAGCUAACCCAACUACACCAAUAGCUGACAUCCAAAGACCUACAACAGGAACAAGAAGCAUGAAGAAGUGAAGCCAACGUUUAUUUGAGAAAGCAACCCCAAAAAUUUGAGACCAGAAACGGUUAGCUGUUACCAUUGAGUAAGUUUCUUCAGCUUGUGUUGGGUUAAAUGCACGGAAUGUGUUAGCACCGUCACCAUCUUCAAAUAAUGUGUUUUCAACAGUAGCACCGUGAAUAGCACAUAAUAGAGCAGCUCCUAAAACACCUGCUACACCCAUCAUGUGGAAUGGGUUUAAAGUCCAGUUAUGGAAGCCUUGGAAAAAUAAAAUGAAACGGAAAAUAGCUGCUACACCAAAACUAGGAGCAAAAAACCAGCCAGAUUGUCCUAAUGGGUAAAUUAAGAAAACUGAAACAAAAACUGAAAUAGGCGCCGAGAAAGCAAUAGCAUUGUAUGGACGUAAAUUAACUGAACGAGCAAUUUCAAAUUGACGUAACAUAAAUCCAAUUAAACCGAAAGAUCCAUGUAAAGCAAUAAAUGUCCAUAGACCACCUAAUUGACACCAACGAGUAAAGUCACCUUGUGCUUCAGGUCCCCAUAAGAAUAAUAAAGAGUGAGCCAUACUGUUUGCAGGAGUUGAAACAGCUGCUGUUAAGAAGUUACAACCUUCUAAAUAUGAAGAAGCUAAACCAUGUGUGUACCAUGAUGUUACAAAAGUUGUACCAGUAAACCAACCUCCAAGUGCAAAAUAAGCACAAGGGAAAAGAAGAAGACCUGACCAACCUACAAAUACAAAACGGUCUUGACGUAACCAGUCAUCUGCGUCAUCAAACCAUGUACGUUUUUCUUGAUAUGUACUACCAAUCGCAAUAGUCAUUGCGUGAUCUGAAAAUAAUUUUAUAGAGUUCAUCUUUACGUAAAAAAAAUUUUUUUAAAACCUAUUUAUAUUUUUAUUAUAACAUAAAAAUGAAAAAAGAACAAAAAUGAAAUUUUUUAAUUUUUUUCAUUUUUUAUUUUUAAAAUUUGUAUAAAUUUGGAAGAGUUUAUUUUUUAUUUACUUCUUUUUUAGUUUAAAGAAGUAAAUAAAAAACUAAAUAAGUUUAGUAGACUUUCUUGAGAGAAAGAAGAAAUAUAUUUCUUCUUGAAUAUCUAUAUAUUUUUUCUCAAAGAUAAUUAAUUAUUCGGAAAGGGAGGGAUUCGAACCCCCGGUGACCGUAAAGCCACGCUGGUUUUCAAAACCAGAGCAUUCAACCACUCUGCCACCUUUCCAUGACAAAUUUUUUAUUGAUUAAAACAAUAAUAUUAUAACAAUAAUAUUGUUAAAAAAUCAACUUUUUCAUUUUUUCCGCAGCUUAAAUUUUAAAUUAUUUGUUUUCAUAGUUUUGUCUUGCCCUAUUUUUAUUGCUUACUGUUUAUGGAGGACCGGGAUGGCUCCCCAAUAAAUAAAGAUUUAAAAUUUCUAUUUUUUAUUUUUUGAAAACAAAUUUAAAAAAUCUUAAGACAAUUUAUUUACUACUUUUACUACUUGAUAGCGAGCUUUUGCUCUUUUAUAAGCAAAAUUUGCUUCAACUUUUUGUUUCACACCUUCAGCUUUUUCUAAAUUUGCUUUUGCAAUUUCAAAAGCAUUUUUUGCUUCGUCAGAAUCAAUAGUUUCAGCUGAUUCUGCUUCAUUUGCUAAAAUUGUAACUUUAUUUUUUUUUACUACAGCAAAACCACCCAUUAAGGCAUAAGAAUUCCAUUCUUCUUUAGUACGAACUAACAUAGCCCCUACAUCAAGCCCUGUAAUAAUAGGUGCGUGGUUUUUUAAAACACCCAUCUCUCCAGUUUCUGUUGGAAGAAUAAUUUCUUCUGCUUGACCAUUCCAAAAAGGUUUUUCUGGAGUUAAAAUUGAAAUUUGUAAACUCAUAUAAUUAAAAAUUUUUUUUACUUGUUAAUUUUCAGAAUUGUACGUAUAUUUUUUUGAUGGAGGCCAAUGACUAUAUAUGGCAGGUUUAAAAGUAAUAAAAUUUUGAAUUUAGUUGACUUAUUGCUAAUUUUUUUUUAUUUUCUUUUGCAUUAGAAACAUUUUUCAUUAGAAAAUAUAAUUAUCGCAGGUGCCCAGACUGAAAUAAAAUUAAAGAAAAGUCAUAAAACCAUGUUUUUGAACAUAAUGAAAAAGACAUAAUCGCUCUUUACUUAAUUCUAUGAAAAUUAAAUAUUGUUUAAUUAAACUUGUGAAACUGCGUUUAAAAUAAUUUGAGGUCGAUUUGAAUACAUUGCAUUGUUUGCUGCAAUUUUAUGUAACUCUUCGCGUUUUUUCAUUGCAUUUCCUUUCUUCUCAUAAGCAUCUAAAAUUUCUGUUUGUAAUUUAACAACCAUACUUUUUGCUGAUUUUUUUUCACAUGAUUCUAAAAUCCAACGUAAUGCAUUUGCUUGCCCACGUUCUACUGAACUUAAAAUACUAGGUACCAUUUGUACUGAACCUGCUCUACGUCUUGGUUGAACUUCAACUUUUGGCAUUACAUUUUCUAAUGCUGCUUCAAAUACUUCAACAGGGUUUCUUUGAGUUGUUUCACCAAUAUUUUGUAAUGUAUUGUAGACAAUUUUAUAAGCUAACGAUUUUUUGCCAUUUUUCAUAACACGAUUUACUAACAUAUGAACUGAAGUACUAUUAUAAACUGGAUCUGGUAAAACCACACGUUUUUUUUUAAUUGGACGACGAGGCAUAUUUUUUUUAAUUUUUUAUUUUUACAGAUUUAAAACCUAAUAGACAAAAACCAACAUAUCUCUUUUCAUGACUAAGAGAGAAAAACGGGACUGACGGGACUCGAACCCGCAACUUCCUCCGUGACAAGCAACCAACAUAUCUCUUUUCAUGACUAAGAGAGAAAAACGGGACUGACGGGACUCGAACCCGCAACUUCCUCCGUGACAGGGAGGUGCUCUAACCAAUUGAACUACAAUCCCAAUUUUUGGGUAUACUUUUUUAUUUCACUUAUUAUUUAUUUAUAUUUUUAAAUAAGUUGAUUGAAAUUUGUUUUUUUAUUAUAACUUGUUUUUUAGUUUUUUGCAACUUUAUAAAAGAAAAUUUUUUCUUAGUUUCGCAGCAAAUUAGAAAAUUCAUUAAUUAACAAUUUUGUUGUUAAAAUUAUAAAACAAUUUUGUUGUUAUGAAUAUUAAAUAAAAAAAUAUUUUUUUUAGCUAUCAAAUUCAAUAGUUUUAAAAUUUAUGUUCAACUAAAGAUAAAAAUAAUUUAUUUUUAUCUUAAGUUGAACAUAAAAAAAAGAAAAAACUAAAAAGUUUUAAAUUUUAUCCAACAGCAAUAAUACGAGCUAAGAAGAACGACCAAGUAGUUGCGAUACCACCUAAUAAGUAAUGAGCGACACCUACAGCACGUCCUUGUGUAAUGCUUAAAGCACGUGGUUGAAUAGAAGGAGCUACUUUUAAUUUACUGUGAGCCCAGAUAAUUGAUUCAAUAAGUUCUUGCCAAUAUCCACGUCCACUGAAUAGGAACAUUAAAGAGAAAGCCCAAACAAAGUGAGCACCUAAGAACAUUAAACCGUAAGCAGAAAGUGCUGAACCAUAAGAUUGGAUUACUUGAGAAGAUUGUGCCCAAAGGAAAUCUCUUAACCAACCAUUAAUAGUGUUUGCACUUUGUGCAAAAUUUCCACCUGUAAUAUGAGAAACCCCAUUUGCAGUUACAGUUCCCCAAACAUCAGAUUGCAUUUUCCAACUAAAAUGGAAAAUGGCAAUAGAUAAUGAAUUAUACAUCCAGAAAAGUCCUAAGAAAACGUGGUCCCAAGCAGAAACUUGGCAAGUACCUCCACGUCCUGGACCAUCACAAGGGAAACGGAAUCCUAAAUUUGCUUUAUCAGGGAUUAAACGUGAGCUACGAGCAAAUAAAACACCUUUUAAUAAAAUUAAAACAGUUACGUGAAUAGUAAAUGCGUGAAUGUGGUGAACUAAAAAGUCAGAUGUUCCUAAUGAAAUAGGCAUCAUCGCUACUUUUCCACCGACAGCUACGACAUCUCCACCCCAAGUAGCACUUGUCGCUGCUAAAGCAGUAGGUGCUGUUAAUUGUGGUGCUAAGAAAUGAGUUUUUUGAAUCCAUUGUGCAAAUACAGGUUGUAAUUGAAUCGCUGUGUCUGAGAACAUAUCUUGUGGACGACCUAAAGCGCUCAUUGUAUCAUUGUGAAUAUAUAAUCCAAAACUAUGGAAACCUAAGAAAAUACAAACCCAGUUUAAGUGAGAAAUAAUCGCAUCACGGUGACGGAUAACACGAUCUAAUAAGUUGUUAUAAUUGUUUGUAGGAUCAUAAUCACGUACCAUAAAAAUUGCAGCAUGAGCACCCGCCCCUACGAUACAAAAACCACCAAUCCAAGUAUGAUGUGUAAAUAAUGAAAGUUGUGUUCCAUAAUCUGUUGCUAAGUAAGGAUAUGGAGGCAUAGAAUACAUGUGAUGAGCAACAAUAAUUGAAAGUGAGCCAAAUAGAGCUAAGUUAAUAGCUAAUUGAGCAUGCCAAGAAGUUGUUAAAAUUUCAUAAAGACCAACAUGGCCUUCUCCUGUGAACGGACCUUUAUGUGCAUCUAAAAUUUCUUUCAUUGAGUGCCCGAUACCCCAAUUAGUACGAUACAUGUGACCCGCAAUUAAGAAUAAAACAGCAAUCGCUAAGUGGUGGUGCGCAGUGUCGCUUAACCAUAACCCACCUGUUACAGGGUUUAAUCCACCAUUGAAUGUUAAGAAAUCGCUAUAUUCACCCCAUUGUAAAGUAAAGAAUGGAGCUAAUCCUUUUGCAAAACUUGGAUAUAAAUCUUGCAUAAUUUGACGAUUUAAUAAAAAUUCAUGUGGUAAUGGAAUUUCUUUUGGAUCUACCCCCGCAUCAAGUAAUUUAUUAAUUGGUAAAGAAACAUGAAUUUGGUGACCUGCCCAACUUAAACUUCCUAAACCUAAUAAACCUGCUAAAUGGUGAUUUAGCAUUGAUUCUACGUUUUGGAACCAUUCAAGUUUAGGAGCUGCUUUAUGGUAAUGGAACCAACCAGCAAAAAACAUAGCAGCAGCCAUUACUAAACCACCAAUAGCUGUAGUAUAUAAUUGUAAUUCACUAGUUAUACCACUUGCUCUCCAUAAUUGGAAGAACCCUGAAGUAAUUUGAAUACCUUGGAAACCUCCACCAACAUCACCAUUUAAAAUUUCUUGCCCAACUACAGGCCAUACAACUUGUGCACUUGGUUUAAUAUGAACAGGAUCACUUAGCCAAGCUUCAUAAUUUGAAAAACGUGCUCCAUGGAAAUACAUAGUUUGGUGAAAAAGAAAAUCAGUUUCAUAUUUUAUUAUUUUCUAAACAUUUUAAAUGCAAAAAAAAAUUUUAUAUAUAUAUAUUUUUUGCCAUAGUCAGCAAAUUGAAAUUUCUUUAGUUUUUUACUGAAUAGAAAAAAAAAAAAUUAACUUUUUUCUGUUUCCCAUAAAAUCCGUACAUGCAAUUUUGCAUUGCAUACGGCUUACAUUCGUGUUUAAAAACUUGAAUUUUUAGGCCAGCCCUAGGCUUCUGCCCAAGCGCAUGACUUGCGCCAGGGCUUCGUUAAUUACUUCAUUCUAAACUGUAGUAAACUUUAAAAAUUUAUAUAUAUAAAAAUAUAUCAAAAAUUUUUUGGUUUUUCAAGAUUUAAAUUUGAAGUUUUUUAGUUUGUUUUCUAUUUGUGAAAAAUUCUUUUACUAAAAAAAUGAAUUGAAAACUUUUAUACGAAAAUAGUGAAAAUUUCAAACAAUAAAAAAGAUUGUUGAAAAUAUUUUCAACAAUCUUUUUUAUUUAAAAUUAAAGAUUUCCACCACGAGCAGAUAAUAAUACAACCACUAAAGGACCUGCUGCAAGAAUUAAAACUAAACUAGUAAGUUGAAGAACAAUUUCAAAAUUCAUAAAAAACAUGAACAUAAUUUUAGAAGAAAAACAAUCAAAAGAGGAAAAGUUUUUUUUACUUUCUCGAACAGAGAAAUAAAUUUUUAAUUUCAAGUGUUAUUAUUUUUUUUUUAUUUUCAUUCGCAAAUUUUUCUACAUUUCUUUUGACUUUUCCACGAACAAAUCCAGGAAUUCGAGAUAAUUCUUGUAAAGCAUCUUUUGACCAUUCUAAAGAAUGGUCAUUUUCAUUAUUUUCUUUAAAAUUAGAUUUCGUAUCAUGACCAUUAAAAAUUUCAAGAAGGUGAUCUUCCAUACCCAAUGUAAAUGAAUUGUAUACUAAAUCAGCUAUUUGAUUUGUUCCUUCAUAGCCUAAAAAUGGUCGAUAGCCUAAUGGAAAAUUUUGAAUAUGCACUGGAGCUGAUAUAACUCCACAAGGUAUAUCUAAACGUUUCCCAACAUGGCGUUCCAUUUGUGUCCCAAAAAUGGCAGCCGGCUCGAAGCGUGCAAUCAUAUUUCCUACUUGGGUAUGAUCUUCAGUGAUCAAUAUUUCAUUACAAAAUCCUGUAACUUGUUCUCUAAACCAAUCUGCAUCAUGUUUACAAUAAGUACCUGAACAAAGAACUUCAAUACCCAUUUCACAUGCUAAAAUUUUCGUCAUACAAGCCGCAUGUGUAGCAUCUCCAAAAACAACAGCUCGUUUUCCUGUUAAAUUUUGACAAUCAAUAGAUCGAGAAAACCAUGCAGCUUGCGAAACAAAUUGUGUUUGUUCUUGAAUAUAUUUUUGAAAAUUUUUUUUUAAAAUUACGGAAAUUUGGUCAGAAAAAUUUUAUUUUUUUUUAGACUUUGAAAAUUUAAUCAUUUGUGAUUUUAAAAGGUUCUCAAUAGCUUGAAUAAACUGAGCAGUAUUUAAAAUUCCCAUAGGAGUUAUUGAAAUAUAAGGCAUUUCAAAUUCAUUUUGCAAAUAAACUGCAGUCAUCAAGCCAACUUCACGGUAAGGAACUAUAUUAAAAUGAGCUUUAGGAAGAUUUUUGAGAUUUUCAACAUUUCCACCUUCAGGCACAAUUUCAUUUAUUUCAAUUCCUAAAUCCAUUAAUAAACGUUUUAAUUCUCGACAAUCAUGCAAAUUAUGAAAUCCUAAAGUAAAAAUACCUAAAAUAUUUGCAGAAAUUUUUUCAGUUUUUGAAAAAGAAAAAUUUUCUCUUUUUGCUUUUUCAAUAUAAAAUCGAACGAUUUGUUCUAAUGUACGAUCUGCAGCUUGAAAUUCAUUUACUCGAUAAUGAUUUACAUCUGCUAAAAGAACAUCAGCAUUUGAAUUUUUUAAAGUUAAUGCACGAUUUACAAAAUUUUGUAAAUCUUCUUGCAAAAUACUAGAGGUACAAGUUGGAGUUAAUACAAUUAAAUCAGGAUGUUCUUCUUUAUCUUUUCUAGUAAUAUUUUCAACAACUUUUUCUUGUGAGCCUCUUGCUAAUACAUGUCUAUCAACAAUACUAGCAGUAACCGGAGUAAAAUCUCUUUCGCGUUCUAGCAUUGAACGCAUUACAUUAAAAUAAUCAUCUCCUAAAGGUGCAUGCAUAAUUGCAUGCACAUUUUUAAAAGAGCUUGCCACUCUUAAUGUUCCUAGAUGAGCAGGACCUGCAUACAUCCAAUAAGCUAAUUUCAUUAUUUUUUUUUUCAACAUUUUUUUAUUUAUAAUUCAAACUGUAAAAUACAUUUUAUCAUAAAAAAAAAUAUUUUCCAAUUUUUUAAAUGUUAAUAUAUUUUAAUAUGAAAAAUGACAAAAUAAAAUGAAAACGAAUUUCUGUUCAUAAAAAUUUCAUAAAAAUUUUGUUUUAGUUUAUACAAAUUAAAUAAAAAAAUAAAACCAUUUUUUAUAUUUGACAAAAUAUAUUCUUUAGUUUAUUAUAUAAAUAAAAAAACACGCAGGAUAGAGCAGUCUGGUAGCUCGUGGGGCUCAUAAUCCCAAUGUCGCAGGUUCAAAUCCUGCUCCUGCAAAAAUAUAAAUUUUCAACUAUUGAAAUUCUCAAUCUUCUUUUGAUUUUUAUAUUCUAUUAAAUAAUAAAUGUCACAUAUCGUAAAAAUUUAUGAUACUUGUAUUGGUUGUACACAAUGUGUACGUGCUUGUCCAUUAGAUGUUUUAGAAAUGGUUCCUUGGAAUGGUUGUAAAGCUAAUCAAAUGGCUUCAGCACCUCGUACAGAAGAUUGUGUUGGUUGUAAACGUUGUGAAACAGCAUGCCCAACUGAUUUCUUAUCAGUUCGUGUUUAUUUAGGUUCUGAAAGCACUCGUAGUAUGGGUCUUUCUUAUUAAUACUUUAUUUAUUAAUUGGAGAGUUCUAUCUUAUUUAAUGGACUUAGAAAUUUUUUUUUAUCUUGCUAGUGAAAAAAUUUUUCCUUAGAUAAAAUAAAAAUUGGUUAUUUAUGGGUCUAUUUUCGCUUCUAAACUCUUUUUUCUUUUCUUUUGUAUUACUGUAUAAUAGUAAUACAAAAGAAAAGAAAAAAUGAAUUUUAUAAAAUUAUUAUAAAUAAAUUUAUGUUAACAAUUACAAGUUAUGUUGGUUUACUUUUUGCAGCUUUAGGUUUUACUUUAGCUCUAUAUUUUGGUUUAACAAAAGUGGUGAAAUUGAUCUAAUUCAUUUUUAAUUAUAUUAAAUUUUUAGUUUUUAACUUUUGAUUUAUCAAAUUUUUAAAGUCAAGUUAAAAACUUAAUUUUAGCUUUUUUAAAACUCAAAAAAGGUGUUUAUAGAUUUGAAGAUUUUUGAAAAAAACUUUUUCAAAAAUCUUCAAAUUUUUGAGAGAAUAUUGAUUCUUCAUAAAAAUUAUAAAAGUAUUUUUUAUCUAAAUUUCAUUUUAUAGCAAAAAAAUUUAAUCAAAAAAAGCAAAACAAAAAUCUGGCAACUUUCAACUACAAUUACAAUCAAUAGAAAAAAUGAAAAAAAAAUAGAAAUUUAUGGAAAAUCGUCAAAAAAAUUUUACAAAACAAAAAACAAAAAUAAAUUUUUCAAAAUCAUUAAGAGAACGUGGUUCUUUUAACAAAGAAAAAAAUACUUUAAUGAAACAAAAUUUACAACCAGGUGAUAUAAUCACUGUAAAGAUUAAUGCUUUGGGUUCAAAAAAUAUAGGAGUGGCUGAAUUAAAAAAUGGAUAUACUGUUCUAGUACCUAAUACUAAAUAUGGUGAAAAAGUUCAAGUAAAAGUAGAUAAAAUUGUUUUUCCAGCAGUAAAAACAAAUUUAAAUUCUUUUCCUAAUCAAAAAAUGAAAUAUGUAAUUGCACAUCUAGUUCAAAAAGAAUCAAAUUUUGAAAAAACAGCAAAUUCAUUAAAAUUUGAUUUCAAAGUUGGACAAAAAUUUAAAGUAAAAAUUACAAAAAAAGGACCGAAAAAUUCAGGGUUAGUUCCUAUUUCAAAAAAUUUUUUCUUUAUAGUUCCUAAUACAAAAGUGGGUGACAAAGUAAUUGUAGAAAUUCAAAAAAUUAAACAAAAUUAUGCAUUUGUAAAACCAAUUUUUUUCCCAAUGAAUUCAAUUAGUGAAACAAGAUUAGAAAAACAAAUAUUGUUAUUCCGUCAUCAGCAAAAACAUUUUAUAAUUACUUUGUUUUAAAAAUAAACGGAAAAUUAGUUUUUCUAAAAAAAUCUUUAGGUGUUGAAAUUCAAAAAACAGUUAAAAUUCAAAUUCAAAAAGCAACAAAUAACUUUGCUCUUGCAAAAAUUUUAAAAAUUUCUCCUCUCUCUUCUAUUGACAAAAAAACUAUGGAAAAAGAAACUCUUCAAAAAAUGAUUCAAUCAAGUAUGCAUUUUGGAGAAAAAGCGAUUCGUUGCAACGCAAAUAUGAGAAAAUAUAUUUGGUAUAGAAGAAAAUAUAGUAUGUACCAAAAUUCUUUAUCUAAAGAAAUAAAAAAACCAAUGAUUAAACGUGGUCGUCAUAUUAUAAACGUGUUCAAAACAAAACAUUGUUUUUCUUUAGCAUUAAAGCAAUUAGCAAAAUAUGCUGCAAAAGGAAAAACAUUUUUAUUUGUUGGAACAAAAAAACCAGCUUCUUCUUUAAUCGCAAAAACAGCGUUAUUAAGUAAUACGUCAUUUUUUGUAAACACGCGUUGGUUAGGUGGAAUGUUAACAAACUGGAAAACUAUUUUAAAAUCAAUUUCUCAAAUUCGUCCAAUUUUAAAACAAAAACAAAAAAUCCUACAAAAAAUUUUAAACAAACGUCAAAAAAUUCAUCGUCGUUUAUUAAAUAAAAUUUCUUUAUUAAGAAAACAAAGUCAAAAAUUUAUGAUGAAAGGAAAAUAUUUAAUUCGUCAAAUUUUUAUUAGUCUUACUACAUUGCCGAAAGGCGGUGCAAAUGGUUCUGUUGCCAAAAACUUCUUAAUUGAAAGAAAUGAAUAUUAUCAAAAAAAUUAAAAAUGAAAAAAAUACAAAUUUUAAAAAAAAUACAACAAUUAGAAUUAAGUGCUACUGAAAUUUUAACACAAAAACAACAAUUAAAAAAAUUAAUGUUUAAAAAUAUGGCCAAGUUAGAUGAAAUUGCUCAAUUUUUUGCAAUUGGGCAAGAAUUAAUUAAAUUAAAAAAUUCAUUUGAAAAACAAAGCGCUAAAAAAUUUGUUGCUGUUUCGUAUGAAAAACUUUUUACAAUGAAAGAAUCUAAUUUAAAUAAAGAAAAUUUCACACAACUUGAACAAAGUAUUCCAAAUCCGUCGCAGUUAAAAAAAAUGAUUUCUAUAGUUUCAACAUUAAAAAAAGAAGAUAUUUUUGAAAAAAAUUUUAAAACAAAUAUAUCUAAUCGUUCAAAAUCAGAGCUUGAGGCAGAAAAAUAUGAAACAUCAAAUAUUAAUCCAUCUAACGCAUCACAAAAUAAAACACUUCUUUUAAGUAAAUUCUUAAUGAAAUUUAUCUUUUUUUUACCUUAUUUAAAAAAUUCUAUGCAAAUUUUAACUUUACGUUUUUCUCAACAAGAAAAAAUGUUUACAAAACUAAAUACAACAUUGUCAAAAAUUGUCAAUUCACAAAACGCAUUAAAACAAAUUUAUAAAAAAACUGUUUCUGAAUUAGCUAUUGUUUUUUCAAAAUUUUUUAAUCAAAAAAGAAAUUUACAAAAACUACAAAAAAAUUUAAAACAGUUUGUAUCUGAAGAACGUUUAUUAAAAUUUUUACCAAAAUUAAGAUAUUUACCAACAUCACAAACAAAAAUGUAUGAAACGGUUGAAUUAUUUAUGAAAAAAUUUGUAGAUCCUAAAUUAAGUUAUCCAAUGGAACAAAUUUAUGAUCAAAAAUUAAAAUUUACUUCUAAAAAAAUUGCAGCUACACGCAAACAAAAGUGGCAACGUUUAGAAAAAUAUUUUGGUGGAAUUACAAAAAUGGCAAAAAUGAAUACAAAACAAAUUUCUAAAAACGUAGCUAUUAUUAUAGGUCAACAAGAAGAAAUGAAUGCUGUUCAUGAGUGUCGAAAAUUAGGAAUGAAAAUUUUUGCUGUUGUGGACACAAAUUGUAAUCCAAAAUUAGUAGAUCACAUCAUUCCUGCAAAUGAUGAUUCUAGAAACUCGAUUAAAUACAUAUUAGGUGAAAUGUUAACUUAUAUUCGAUUAGGACAAAAAUUACGUAAAAAAGUUUUUAUUCGUACAAAAUUUCAAAAUGCAAAAAAAAGACGUUUUCUAUAAAAUUUCAUUUGAGCGCUAGCGCAUACCACUGCAGGGCUGCGCAGAAAAACUAAUUCAUUUUUUUAUGGAUUAGCGAUUCUAGCUUGAAAAAAAUUUAAUUUGGCAAAUAAAGACAUGCAUUGAAAAUUUUUAUUUCAAAAAAAAUAAAUUUUUUUUUCAUCCAGGCUUUUCUAAUUUGAAAUUUCAUUUUCCAAAUAUAAAAUUUUUUAUAUUUCUUUUAGUAAACUAAUUAAAACAUAUUUCAAUUAGUUUACUAAAAUUUAUUUGAAAAAUAAUCAAAUAAUGAUAUAAUAAAAAAAUAAUAAAUUUAAAUGGCUGAAAAAAAAAAAAAUAUGAAUCAAUCAAAAAAAACAGUUUCUUUAAAUAAAGAAAAAAAUACUGAAUCUCAUUUUUCACAAAAUAUUCAAAAAGUAAAACAAAAAAAACAAAAAAAAUUAGUUGAUAUGGAAGGUUUGGUAACACAUAACUUAUCGAAUGGUAAAUUUAGAUUAAAACUUGAAAAUGGUGUAGAAGUUAUUGGUCAUUUAUCUGGAAAAAUCCGCCAAAAUCGAAUAAAAAUUGUUGUUGGAGAUAAAGUGACAGUAGAACUCAGCCCUUAUGAUUUAACAAAAGGAAGAAUUACUUAUCGCCAUCGUUGAUGAAAAAUUUCUAUUCAAUGAAAUAAAAAUAUUUUUUUCUUGUUUUUUAUAUGCCAAAGCCUAGAAAAACUAGAGUAGUUUUCAAGAUAAACUAAAUUUGUUUUUGCUAACUUGGCUGUAUUUUAGAUUCUUGCUAAAUACUAAAGUUCUUUUUAGACUUAUUUUAUUAGUUACUUUCUCAUCGGAAGAGCGUCGUGUAAUUUUCUUGUUUUUUAUAUGCCAAAGCCUAGAAAAACUAGAGUAGUUUUCAAGAUAAACUAAAUUUGUUUUUGCUAACUUGGCUGUAUUUUAGAUUCUUGCUAAAUACUAAAGUUCUUUUUAGACUUAUUUUAUUAGUUACUUUCUCUUCAUAGUUAAUACAAAAUAAAUUUUCCAUAAAUCAAAGGAAUUAAGUAAACAAAAUUCUUUUAUACAUUUUCAAUGGGCUUACCUUGGUAUCGUGUACAUACAGUAGUUAUUAAUGACCCAGGGCGAUUAAUUUCUGUGCAUUUAAUGCACACAGCAUUAGUUGCUGGUUGGGCUGGAUCAAUGACACUUUUUGAAAUCGCUGUUUUUGAUCCUUCAGAUCCAGUUUUAAACCCAAUGUGGCGUCAAGGGAUGUUUGUUUUACCUUUUAUGACACGCUUAGGUGUUACUCAAUCAUGGGGUGGCUGGACAAUUAGCGGUGAAACAGCUACAAAUCCUGGUAUUUGGAGUUAUGAAGGUGUUGCAGCUUCUCAUAUUAUUUUAUCAGGUUUAUUAUUCUUAGCUUCAGUUUGGCAUUGGGUUUAUUGGGAUUUAGAAUUAUUCCGUGACCCAAGAACUGGAAAAACUGCAUUAGAUUUACCAAAAAUUUUUGGUAUUCACUUAUUCUUAUCAGGUCUUUUAUGUUUUGGUUUUGGUGCUUUCCACGUGACAGGUUUAUUCGGGCCAGGUAUCUGGGUUUCAGAUCCUUAUGGCUUAACAGGAAGUGUUCAACCAGUAGCGCCUUCUUGGGGAGCAGAUGGAUUUGAUCCUUUUAAUCCAGGAGGUAUUGCUGCUCACCAUAUUGCAGCUGGUAUUUUAGGUGUUUUAGCAGGAUUAUUCCACUUAUGUGUACGUCCUUCUAUCCGUUUAUAUUUCGGUUUAUCUAUGGGAAGUAUUGAAACAGUAUUAUCAAGUAGUAUUGCUGCAGUUUUCUGGGCUGCUUUUGUUGUAGCAGGAACAAUGUGGUAUGGUUCAGCAGCUACUCCAAUUGAAUUAUUUGGUCCAACUCGUUAUCAAUGGGAUCAAGGUUUCUUCCAACAAGAAAUUCAAAAACGAGUUCAAACAAGUUUAGCGGAAGGCUCUUCACUUUCUGAAGCUUGGUCAAAAAUUCCAGAAAAAUUAGCUUUCUAUGAUUAUAUUGGGAAUAACCCAGCAAAAGGCGGUCUUUUCCGUACAGGAGCAAUGAAUAGUGGAGAUGGUAUUGCAGUAGGUUGGUUAGGCCAUGCUGUUUUUAAAGAUCAAGAAGGCCGUGAACUUUAUGUUCGUCGUAUGCCUACUUUCUUUGAAACAUUCCCUGUGUUAUUAAUUGAUAAAGAUGGUGUUGUACGUGCUGACGUUCCUUUCCGUCGUGCUGAAUCUAAAUAUAGUAUUGAACAAGUUGGUGUUUCUGUUACUUUCUAUGGUGGGGAAUUAGAUGGUUUAACAUUUAAUGAUCCAGCAACAGUGAAGAAAUAUGCUCGUAAAGCACAAUUAGGAGAAAUUUUUGAAUUUGAUCGUUCAACUUUACAAUCUGAUGGUGUUUUCCGUAGCAGCCCUCGUGGUUGGUUCACUUUUGGUCACGUUUGUUUUGCUUUAUUAUUCUUCUUUGGACAUAUUUGGCAUGGUGCUCGUACUAUCUUCCGUGAUGUAUUUGCUGGUAUUGAUGAUGAUCUAAAUGAAAGUUUAGAAUUUGGUAAAUACAAAAAACUUGGUGAUACUAGUUCUGUUCGUGAAGCUUUCUAAUUCUUUUUCUCAGUUUCAAUUUGUUUUUUCUAACAACCAACGGUUAUAGGUUUUUUUGUUUUUCACGGUUGGGAUGGCUAGGUGCAUUGCCCGAUCCCUAAUGGCCAGGGCAAGUCUAACCAGCAGCCCUUUGUCAAAGAAACUUUUUUUAGAAAUUAGCUUUUGAUUACUAGAUAUGAAUUUGAUAAGUAAAUAUGAAUUCAAAUGAAACAGCAAACACAUUGAAAACGAAAAAUUUUUUUUUUUGAAUUGUUUUUCGUUUAGCCUAUUCAUAAAAAUAGAAACAUAAAGUUGAAUUCUAAGAGAUGGGUCUGGAUUUUUCCAAGCAAAAGAAUUUUGUAUUUUUUUUUAAGUCAUUUUUCGAAAAAAAUAUUUUAUUUAUAGAUGACGAGUUUUAUCGUCAAUAAAGAUUUAUAUUUCAAUUGAAUAUAUUGGAUACUUUUUUUAAAAAUACAAAAUUUGUAAUUAUUAUUCUCAAAAAUCAAUAUAUUUGUUAACCACAUUUCAUUUUAUGGAAGCAUUAGUUUAUACUUUUUUAUUAAUUGGAACAUUAGGGAUUAUCUUUUUUGCUAUUUUCUUUAGAGAACCGCCACGUAUGGUAAAAUAGCGAAAAAAUUUGUUUUUUCAUUUUUUCAUUGAGUGAAAGAAAAAUAAAUACAAUUUCUUUCACUCAUUUUUUAAAAGAAAAUUUCUUUUGUUGAAACUUUUUUACUAUAUUUGUUUUUAAAUUGUUCACUUUCUAAAUACAAAUUGGAUAUUAAUAUUUUGUAUUAACAAUGCUAGAGGGUAUAAAAAAAUGAAAACUAUAAAAAAAGUACAAGAUCUUUUAAUAUCUUGUACUUUUAAAAUUUAGAAAUAAAAAAAAUUAAUCUUCGUGUUCCUCAAAAGGGUCUCUUAAUUUUUUAGAUGGAGGUCCAAAACUCACAUAAAUAGAAUAUCCUGUUGCGCUUAAUAAAAGAAACCAUAAAAAAAAGGUAAAGAAAAAAGCAGGACUAUCCAUAAUUUUUCUAUUAAAAAAAAUUUUUUAAAAUUUAUUCUCCAAUAAUUAUAUUAUGACAAAAAGUAAAAAAAAUCAAAAUUUUUCAAAAAAAAAUGGCAACUGGAACUACUUCAAAAGCUAAAUCAAGCUUCUCAGAUGGACUUCAAGAACCAGGAAUUGUAACUCCUUUAGGAACUUUAUUAAGACCGUUAAACUCUGAAUCAGGAAAAGUAUUACCUGGUUGGGGCACGACUGUUUUAAUGGGUGUUUUCAUUGUACUUUUUGCUGUAUUCUUAUUAAUUAUUUUAGAAAUUUAUAAUAGUUCUUUAUUAUUAGAUGAUGUUACUAUGAGUUGGGAAACUUUAGCCUCUUAAUUCUUGUUGAUUUAAAUAAAAAUGCAUUUUUUUAUAAAUAUUUUAUUUUUUUUAGUAAACAUAUGUUAUGUUAUUAGUACAAACAAUAAAUUAGAAAAAAUGAGUUUCAAGUUGAACUAAAUUGCUCUUUAAAAUAAAACUUGCUAUAACUUUUGAUUUUUAAUCAAAAACGAAUUCUGAAGUCAUUCUUAAAAGUUUGAGCAAUUUUUUAAAAAAGUUAAACCCAAUUCUAUUUCAAAAAUCUUAUGGAAUCUAUGUAUUUAAUUUUAGCAAAAUUACCGGAAGCUUAUGCACCUUUUGAUCCUAUUGUAGAUGUUUUACCAAUUAUUCCUGUAUUCUUUUUAUUAUUAGCUUUUGUAUGGCAAGCAUCUGUAAGUUUUAGAUAAAGAUAUAAUAAUUUAUUAGAAAGAUUAUUUUAAGGAAAAUUCCUUUUUAUUGACUAAUAAAAACUUUGUCUGUCUUGUUUUUUUUGAGUUUUUGCUUUUUGAUAAAAAUCACCAAGCAAAAACUCAAAAAAUAUUUACAAGCGAAAAACAAACAUUAAUUUUAGUCUUUAAGAACUUUUCAUAAUAAAAAACUUAUGCUCAAAAAGUUUGUUUGAGAAAUAAAAUAUUAUUUUUUCAAAACCAUAAAAAUAAAUUUUGAAAAAAAUAUAAUUACAAAAAACUAACGCUUAGACAAUAUUAGCAUCCGUUCAGUAAAAGUUGAUCAUUUCUAAAAAUUUUUCAUUUUUUAUUUGUCUCUUUUUAAAAAGAGACAAAUAAAAAAUGAAAAAUUUUUUUUGAGAAACAAGUUUUUCUCAUUUACAAAAACAUUCUAAAACUACUUAAAAUUUAAACACGUCGUUUCUUAGGAGGUCGACAACCAUUAUGAGGAAUUCCUGUUUUUUCGCGAAUAACAUUUACUUUAAUUCCUGCUUUAAAGAUUUCACGAAUAGCAGUUUCUCUCCCUUGCCCCGGGCCCGUCACCAAAAUUUUUGCUUCAUUCAUUAAAAAUUCACGCGAUUUUUUAGCUACUACUUCUGCUGCUUUUUUUGCAGCAAAUGUAGUAGCUUUUCUUUUUCCACGAAAACCACAAGCUCCCGCAGAACUCCAACAAAGAACUUCUCCACGAAGAUUUGCUAAUGUGAUUAUUGUAUUGUGGUGUCCCGCUUGAAUGUAAACAAUACCUCGAUAUGCACGUUUUUUAAUUUUAGUAGGUGAAACUUUUCUAGUUUGUCUAGCCAUAAAAAGAAAAUCAAAAAUUUAUUUCAUCAUUUUCUCAUUUAUAAAGUUUUUUAAGAAAAGUAAUAAAAUUGUUUAAGUAUUUAUUGAGUUUUUUUAGAAUCAAAAACUGGUUUAUUUUUAAACCAACAAGAUUUUAGAAAAUAGAAAAAAAUUUCAAAACGUGAUAAUACUUAACAACUUUUAAUAAUUCAAAAAAUAUUUAUUUUGAAUUAAGUCAAAUAAAAAAUAUUAAUUAUUUUUAUUUUUUUUUCCAUUUUUUUUAAAUGGAAAUUUGUAUCUCAAUUGGAAUAAAAAACUAUAAAUAGAAAAUUUUUAAAUUAUUUCAAAAACGAAAUAAAAAUCCAACUUUCAAACAAUAUCUAUGGGCCGAGUCGGAUUCGAACCAACGUAGGUAUAACCAGCGGAUUUACAAUCCGCCCCCAUUAACCACUCGGGCAUCGGCCCCCUUUUUCAAUGCUUUAUAUUUAUUUCCUUGAUCUGCGAUGCAGGUAAAGGGAACAAAAGUUUCUAAGCUUCUAAAGAGGUUAAAAAAAAAUUUUUUAUUUGUUUUUUCUAAAACAUAAUAUCAAAAAAAUGAAAAAAUUUCAAGCAUAUUUAAAAUUAAAUAAUAUUUUCGACAAAUAAAAAAAGUUAAAAAGUAAAAAAAAAGAUGUUAAAAAAAUUUUUUUUUGUUUUUUCUAAAACAUAAUAUCAAAAAAAUGAAAAAAUUUCAAGCAUAUUUAAAAUUAAAUAAUAUUUUCGACAAAUAAAAAAAGUUAAAAAGUAAAAAAAAAAAUUUUUGCUUAUUUUCGCAUAAAAUAAAAUAAGCCCAGAUACUAGGAAAAUAUAUUUUGAAUAGAAUAUUCUUUUUUAUAAAAAGAAUAUUCUAUUCAAAAAAUAAAUUAUAGUUUGUCAAUAGUUUCAAAUUCAAAUUUGAUUUCUUUCCAAACUUCACAAGCAGCUGCUAAUUCAGGACUCCAUUUACAUGCAGAACGAAUAACAUCACCACCUUCACGAGCUAAGUCACGACCUUCGUUACGAGCUUGAACACAUGCUUCUAAAGCAACACGGUUAGCAACCGCACCAGGAGCGUUCCCCCAAGGGUGACCUAGAGUACCACCACCGAAUUGUAAACAAGCGUCAUCACCAAAGAUUUCAACUAAAGCUGGCAUGUGCCAUACGUGAAUACCACCAGAAGCUACUGGCAUAGUACCUGACAUUGAACACCAAUCUUGAGUAAAGUAAAUACCACGGCUACGAUCUUUUUCAAUGUAAUCGUCACGCAUUAAAUCUACGAAACCUAAUGUUACUUCACGUUCACCUUCUAAUUUACCAACUACAGUUCCUGAGUGUAAGUGGUCACCACCAGACAUACGUAAAGCUUUUGCUAAAACACGGAAGUGAAUACCGUGGUUUCUUUGACGGUCAAUAACCGCGUGCAUAGCACGGUGAAUGUGUAAUAAUAAACCGUUAUCACGACAGUAAGUAGCUAAUGAAGUGUUAGCAGUGAAACCACCUGUUAAAUAGUCGUGCAUAAUAAUAGGUACACCUAAUUCUUUAGCACAUUGUGCACGUUUUAACAUUUCUUCACAAGUACCUGCAGUAGCAUUUAAAUAGUGUCCUUUAAUUUCACCAGUUUCAGCUUGUGCUUUGUAACAAGCUUCAGCAACGAAUAAGAAACGAUCUCUCCAACGCAUGAAUGGUUGAGAGUUUACGUUUUCGUCAUCUUUUGUGAAGUCUAAACCACCACGUAAACAUUCGUAAACAGCACGUCCAUAGUUUUUAGCUGAUAAACCUAAUUUUGGUUUAAUAGUACAACCUAAUAAGCCACGACCAUAUUUGUUUAAUUUGUCACGCUCAACUUGAAUACCAUGUGGAGGUCCUUGGAAAGUUUUUACAUAAGCAGGAGGAAUACGUAAAUCUUCUAAACGUAAUGCACGAAGAGCUUUGAAACCAAAUACGUUCCCUACAAUAGAAGUGAAUAAGUUAGUUACUGAUCCUUCUUCGAAAAGAUCGAUUGGGUAUGCUACAUAUGCAAUAUAUUGGUUAUCUUCACCUGGAACUGGUUCGAUAUCGUAACAACGUCCUUUGUAACGGUCUAAUGUUGUAAGACCAUCAGUCCAAACUGUUGUCCAAGUACCAGUUGAUGAUUCAGCUGCUACAGCAGCACCACAUUCUUCAGGCGGAACACCUGGUUGUGGAGUCAUACGGAAUGCAGCUAAAAUAUCUGUAUCUUUAACAACAUAAUCUGGAGUGUAAUAUGUUAAACGAUAAUCUUUAACACCAGCUUUAAAUCCAGCACCUGCUCUUGUUUCUGUUUGAGGAACCAUUAAAUAAGUUCAUAGAACAUUUUGUCGAUCCUAUAAAAAUCCAUCCGUAAAAUUUAAAAAAUUGAAAAAGUUUGAAAAUAAAAUUAUAUUAUAGAAUAUAAUUUUUAUUUACUUUUAAUCGUAAAUGUUUUUUUAUAAUUCUUUCAUUUCUUAAUUUAGAAUCCUUUUAAGUUUUAUUUUGAUAUAUAUUUAUAAUAAUAUAACAUAAAAUGAAAAGUUUAUCAAAUUUUUUAUUUUUUAUAUAUUUUUAGUAUUCAAUUUGUUUUUAGAAGACAUUUUUUUACGCAAAACUUCAUUUUUACAGGUUUAUACAUUAAUAUUUUCUAUUUUUUUUAUUAUUUUAACAAAAAAAAAUAAAAAACUUCAUUUUUUAAUAUUCUUAUAAAAUUUUCAUUUUUACGAGCCACUGGCCGAGCGCCCAAGCACAGCCGUAGACUUGGCGGAAGCCCAGGCCUAGCAGAAAAUCAAAAGAAGAAAUUCAUUUGUUUUAAAGAGAAAAAUUUGAAAUGACAUAAGAAAUUAUAAAGAUAACCUUUCAAAAAUUUUAAAAAUGACUCGAGUAAAACGUGGAAAUGUAUCUCGUAAACGCCAUAAAAAAGUAUUAAAUUUAACUAAAGGGUUUCGUGGAGCUGCGUCUUUAUUAUUUAGAACAGCAAAUCAACAAAAUAUGAAAGCUUUACGUUAUUCUUACGCGAAUCGCCGUAAAAAAAAACGUAAUUUUAGACGCUUAUGGAUUGCGCGUCUUAAUGCUGCGAUUCGUGUUUAUGGAUUGAAUUAUAGUGAAUUUUUGUUUAGAUUAAAAAAUUCAAAUAUUGUUUUAAAUCGAAAAAUUUUAGCACAAUUAGCAAUUUGUGAUCCUGAUAUUUUUUUAAAAUUUGUAAUGUCUCUGAAAUAAAAAUAAUUAAAUGAAGAUCAAAUUUUUAUACAGACAAAUAUUUGAUCUGUAUAAAAAUUAUUGUUUUAAAUUUUUUAAAUUACACGAUUAAAAACCAAAACUGACUGAAGCUGUUUAUUUCAGAUUCCUUAAUAGCAAUGUGUUAUUUUUUUAACAUAAAGAAGGGCAUAGUUUAGUAAAAAGAAAUUGAGGAACUUGCUACUCAUAAAUUUUGCUAACUAUUUGAGUUUGUAGCAUUAUAAAAAAGGAAAGUGGAGAAAAAAUUCAAAACUAUUAUAAAUUUAUCAAAAAAUUUUAGGUUAACAAAAACGUACAUCAAAAUCAAAAAAAAAUAUUCGUAAAAAUGCUUGGAAACAAAAAGUGGUUAAUAAAGCUACUCAAGCUUUAUUUUUAGCAAAAUAUGUUUUAAACACACAAGAACUUUCAGUGAAUGAAAAACAAGAAAAUGAAUAAGUUUGUACUUUUAUGAACUAACUUUUUAUUCGUUUUAAUAGAAAAAUUUUUUAUUUUUGGAAAUACAAAUUUUAAGUAUUGUAGAAUGUUUUUAACAUUCUACAAUACUUAAAAUUUUUCAAAAAAAAUUUUCAUAAGUUUAAUGCUAGCAUUUAGACUUUUUUUUACUAAAGCCGUUCUAAACUAUGAAGUUUAAUUAAGUUAAAAACUAAACUUUUUUGUCUUUCAUUUUUCAAUUUUCUAUAUUUUAAUAUUUCAUUUUUUUGUUUUUACUUUUGAACUCAUCUUAAAAUAAGCCGCUAUUAGUAGUAAAAAAAAAAUUUUGAAUAAGAAAUAAAAAAAAAUGAUUCAGCUUUGUUAUAAAAAUAAUAUAGCAAAACUGAAUCAAAUAAAAAAGAUUAAGCGUUGAUUGAAGGAGCUUCAACAGACGCUAAGUCUAAUGGGAAGUUGUGCGCAUUACGCUCGUGCAUAACUUCCAUACCUAAGUUAGCACGGUUGAUGAUGUCUGCCCAAGUGUUUAAUACACGACCUUGAGAGUCAACUACUGAUUGGUUGAAGGAUUUUUGAAUGCCAUAGUUGAAAUACCUAAAGCAGUGAACCAAAUACCAACUACUGGCCAAGCAGCUAAGAAGAAGUGUAAUGAACGAGAGUUGUUGAAAGAAGCGUAUUGGAAGAUUAAACGUCCUAAGUAACCAUGUGCAGCUACAAUGUUGUAUGUUUCUUCUUCUUGACCGAAUUUGUAUCCUUCGUUAGCAGAUUCGUUUUCAGUAGUUUCACGGAUUAAAGAUGAAGUUAUUAAUGAACCGUGCAUUGCAGAGAAUAAUGAACCACCAAAUACACCAGCAACACCUAACAUGUGGAAUGGGUGCAUAAGAAUGUUGUGCUCAGCUUGGAAAACGAUCAUGAAGUUGAAAGUUCCAGAGAUACCUAAAGGCAUACCAUCGAAGAAAAACAACCAACAUGGUCAUGGAUGCUUAAUGAACCGUGCAUUGCAGAGAAUAAUGAACCACCAAAUACACCAGCAACACCUAACAUGUGGAAUGGGUGCAUAAGAAUGUUGUGCUCAGCUUGGAAAACGAUCAUGAAGUUGAAAGUUCCAGAGAUACCUAAAGGCAUACCAUCAGAGAAAGAACCUUGUCCGAUAGGAUAGAUGAUGAAUACUGCAGUAGCAGCUGCAACUGGAGCAGAGUAAGCUACAGCAAUCCAAGGACGCAUCAAAAAUGUUAGGUCAAAGUUUUAAACUUUGUUUCUUUAGAUUACUCUAAAGUUCAGACUAUGUCAUAAAAUUUUUAUAAUGUCUUAAAAAGAAAGACAUUUCAAAAUUUUUCGGGCACUCAUAUUCUUUUUAAAUUUGAUUUAUCAAUAUUUCAAAUUUUUAGAUAAAAAAAAACAGAGUCGUUGAACGUGUUUAUGUUUUUUUGUUUUCCCCAUAAUUUUUUUUCUUCUAUGCCCAAGGGACUUUACUCAGUAUAAUUCAAGAUAAAUAUCUCUACCUUUUUUUUUUCGGUUUUUAAUGAUAUUCAAAAAUAUUUUUGAAUUAGGGAUUUUUAAAUUUUUUGAAAUACUUUUCCUUGACAAUUCACCCGAUACAGAAGGAAUCUUAUUUGAUUCUUCUGGGCUAGCGUUUGAAUUAAAACAAAAACAACUGAAAAUUUUCGUCUGUUUUUUGUUUUUCCGCAUACCUAAACGGUAAGAUAAUUCCCAUUCACGACCCAUGUAGCAGCAAAUACCUAAGAAGAAGUGGCAAACGAUUAAUUGGUAAGGACCACCGUUGUAUAACCACUCAUCUAAAGAUGAAGCUUCCCAAAUUGGGUAGAAAUGUAAACCAAUAGCGUUUGAUGUAGGAACAACAGCACCAGAGAUGAUGUUGUUUCCGUAUAAUAAUGAACCAGAAACUGGCUCACGAAUACCAUCGAUAUCAACUGGAGGUGCAGCGAUGAAAGCGAUGAUGAAUACAGAAGUAGCUGUUAAUAAUGUAGGGAUCAUGGGGUGAAGUUCGGUGGUCGCCGUUGACGUGAUGAGUGUGCCUCUGUAGGAACAACAGCACCAGAGAUGAUGUUGUUUCCGUAUAAUAAUGAACCAGAAACUGGCUCACGAAUACCAUCGAUAUCAACUGGAGGUGCAGCGAUGAAAGCGAUGAUGAAUACAGAAGUAGCUGUUAAUAAUGUAGGGAUCAUGAUAACACCGAACCAACCGAUGUAUAAACGGUUUUCAGUACUAGUAAUCCAUUCACAAAAACGUGCCCAAAGGCUAGAUGCUUCGUUUUUAGCUAAGAUAGCUGUCAUAAUUAUAAAUUCAAAAAUAAAUAAAAAUUCCCCGAAUCUUUUUUUUUCUUUUUGCUAAAAGCAAAAGGAGUUAGAUUUUUCAUGAAUUUCAAAAAAUUCUUGUUAAUUAUUAACAUAACACAAAUUUAAAAAAUGUCAAAAUUUUUGAUUUUUUUUUAGUUUAUUUGUUUUUGAAAAAUUUAAAAAAUCAAAAAAUCAUUUUUUUUUCUUCUAGGUUUUCUAGAUACGCAACAAACGAUCUUUUAUUUUUAAUUUUAAAAUGAAUUAACUAUAUUUAAAUUUCUAAAAUUUCGAAAUUCAAAAUUUGAAUUUUGGAAAUUUUGAAAAAGAAAUUUAUGUAAAAAAUUGUUUUUUCAUAAAAAUUUUGUUAUAUUUAUAUUAAAUUUUUUAUUUUUAUGGCGGGCGUAGCCAAGUGGUAAGGCAAUGGAUUGUGACUCCAUCAUUCGCGGGUUCGAACCCCGUCGUUCGCCCAUAAAUAAUUAUUAUUUCAAAGUUUUUUCGGCAAGAGUUAUACGUUAAUAUUCUGACCUUCCUCGAACUGUGCUCGAAGACGGGGAAGGCUAGGCAGGGAGCAAUAGCAAUUUUGGUUAAAAAACUUUUUAGCUAGAGUUGUUUAUACAAACAAAAAGGAAAUUAAAAUUAAAAUAUGUAUGAAAAUUUUUUUCAAAAUGUAUGAAUGUUAAAAACCAAAAUAUGAAAAUCAAAAAUCAUAGAGAAGGUUCAACUUGUUGAGAAAAAUAUGAUUUUCCCAACCUGCCGGGGGUGAGAACACCCUGGGCUACUUUUUUUAUUCGAUCUUAGCGCCAGUAUUACUGGCGCUAAGAUCGAAUAAAAAAAAGCGGAGAAAAACUAGAGUUCUCAAAUAGCAAGAAAAAAUUUUAUGGAGAGUUUGAUCCUGGCUCAC